rnacentral:lncRNA from 1 species
AAGACAUUGAAUUUUCAGAUAUAUAUCUCUAUUGUGUGAUCAGAAUUCUCAGAUGCAGUAUUUUGUGAGAGAAUAAACUUGUACCAGUUGGGUAGAUUUGUGACUAUGAGGAUGAUGAUUCCCCAACAAAUUGGCUUCUUCUUCUGGAAUUAAACGGAUCAGGUAUCGAUUCGAUCUAUGUAAAAUCAAGGGAAUUUCGGCUCACGAUUUUGGUAGAUGCGGAAUCACUAUGCAAACUUUAUUUUCAGAUCUUAUAAUAAUUAAUAUGUUUGAAAUCCGUUAUAUAUAUGUGUGUGUGUUUGCCUUAAAUUUUAUAUCCCAAUUGAAUUUCCUCUUAAUUAACUUUGGCCAGCAAUUCCAGGCUUAAACGAGAGGGGAACAUAUGGUAGUGGUUAAUUUGCACAUGAAAACUAUUGAUUUAUGAUAAUGCAUCGUAUAGGCGUAGCUGUUUGAUUUGAAAAUAUUUUUUCUUUUUUGUGUUCUAGCUAGCUAGUCCUGUCUGUGCAGAAUAUAAUAAUUAUAAUUUUAAUAAUUUCAGCGUUAGCUGCUUCUGCUCUUUUUCUCGUCUCUCUGCUCACUCACCAUAUUAGCCUUUUUCUUUUGUUUUGAAAUGGUCUUUUGUGUAGCCUACAAAUGCAGGCUAAAGUUUCAACUUACAGUGGAUCAAUGGUCAUCAUUGAGAUUUCUCCAUAGAACAUGUCUCACUCAAUUCAUUAAACCUUUGAUUUGUGUACUUGUACUGUUUUAGUCGGCAAAGUCACAGAUAGAAUUCAGUAAUUUAAUAUAUAUUCCAGCCUGCAGAUUCAGCAUAACCACAAGUUAGUAUCUAUUAAUUAAUCACGAUUUGUUGUUGUUAUAUUUUAUUAGCAAGCUAGGAACAAUUAUACGGUUCUUAUCUUGACUAACAAAAAUAAAAAAAUAGAGUAUGUAUAUCUAGAUUCAUCCUAGCUAGCUUGCUAUUGCUAGAUCAAGAUAUUCUUUUUUCAAAAAAAAAAUAUCUGCAAGUGACAACAAACAAUUUUUGUUUUGGGUGCACGGGACUAACUAGAAGGAACAUUUUCAGUUACAGAUUGUUAGACAAUGGACCACAGAGAGGUGACCAUACUGCCUUUAUCUCUCGUAUGGAACUUCCAACAACUUAUGAAUGCUUUAAAGCCAUUGGUUGGUGACCCUAGCAAGGGGUUAGGUUAGGUGAAGCUUUUAUGGAAAAGAUUAACCAUAAGGAUCCUCUCUAAAAUUAACCCUCCAGGACUAUGUAUUAUGGUGAUUGAUUCUUGCUUGCUAUGCAACAAAGAAAACCUACCUAAUACCAAUGCAGAACCAGCUUGUGAAGGAAACUAGGGUUUUCUUUUUCCCAAUCAAGUUAGAGACAACCAUGCUACGGGAAAUGGGAAUUUUUUUAGACCACCUGCGAGUACUUGCUUCCUAGUGCUGAGAAUCAGUUCAAAUGAGACUCCCCUUUUUGUUUCUCCCGAAAGAUUUUUGAAAUUAGAAACGGCAAAAAGCAAUUUCAAGUUAUGGAAAAAGCAAUCGAUCUUGCAUGGCCUUGAAAAAGAAGUGCCCGAUCCCGAUAUUAUUAAUAACAUCAAUAUAUAUCCCACAAAAAGUUUUUAUUUUCCUUCAUUUUGUGUCUUACUAUUAAAUCCGACAAAAUGGCGAGCUUCAGCGCCAUCAACUUUACUAGGACUUUUUAGUUGGUGCAUUCACGAGCACUAUGAGUCCAUCCAAUAAACAACUCCACCUCUUUUUAAUUUUUAAUUUUUAUUUGUUUUCCUUUUUCAAAAAGACAUGUAAAAGUCAUAUGAGCAUGCCACUUUAUUUGCAAGAUCAGUAUCCUAAUCCUACUGUAACCCAUUAAUCUAACAUACAUAUUCUUACUUGUUCCUCAUUCUAUGGCUUUUUUUUUUUUUUUCCUAUGUGGAUGAUAAAUAACUUUAAACUGAUUGAACAUGAUGUCCUGCUUUUGCUUGUUUGGAUCUAUACUGUUCUUGAAAUAUGCUUUUUCACUCAUGGUUAUCCUUGCUAUUAAUUAUUUCCUUUAAUUUAAUAAGUUGUGAUAGACCUGAUGCGUUGUAGUCAAAUGAUGUGGAUUGUGGAUUUGUAAUUGUCUGAUUUAAUUAUACUUCUUCCCUAGUUUUUAAACUUUGGAGAAAGAUUAAACUGAAAAAGUUAGAUUUCGUUGUGCUCCGUGAUGUGCAAGAGUGGAAGAUCGGUGAAAAGAGUUAAACGACAGAGAGGUAAUAAAUUAAUAGACAAUCCUCUUGAUCUUGCUUUCUUAGCAGUGCCACUUUUGUCUUGUGGCUAACAACUAUCACAUUUUAAAAUCAUUACAAAUUUGUAUCCCUUGAUGAGCUUUUCGCUUAUCACGUUGCAUUGCCAUCGAUCGAUCACUAUUAAUUGGAUUAUAAACUCUGAGCAACCGCCCCCAAAUAAUGCUAUGAUGAAUUCAUUGAUCUUUUGGCCAAUUAAGAUUUCCUUUUCAGGGAUAUGAAAACCAGAUUCAAGCAUGUCUAAAUGUUUCCAGCAUUUAUUGAGUGUGUAUAUAUAUACCUUUCUGCUUUUGUAUAUAUGCAGUCACAGUUAGUUAAUAAUUAAUCUCUCUUAAAUAUUAAUUCCACACUCAUUAAAUUUGUAGUCCUUUUAUUUUUCUUUUGGUAAUAUUUUCAAUCGUUUUCUAUUAUCUCCUGGCAAACAAAUUAAAUGAAAGAAAAGAAUAUAAGAAAUUAAUUGCCAUGGUUUCUUGGUAUGCCAGGUUAAAUGCACAUAUAGAGCCUGAGGCAUAAUUCACAAGUUGAAACUUAUACUUGAAAAUAAUCAUCAUGAUUGUUCCGUCCAUGUGUACGAUUUCUAAUCUCCCAUCAUGGGUCAACAUAGUUUCCUUUUAUUGUUAUUUUGGCACUUUCACAUCGGAAAGGGGGAAGGUGUUAUUAUUUUCAUUGGGCGUCCUCUAUUUGUAUGGGUGGCUCAUCACCGAGUUACUUACGUCAAUAGCAUACCCUACCAUUGAUGGUGGGCAUGUAUGUAUUGUUAUUGUUGUAAUUUUAUUACUCAUUUAUUCAUGUCACUGUAAAAUAGGACUCUUUUUUUUUUUAAUCAUCUUUCACGGGGCGUGUAAUGUGAAUACAGAGCCAAUCCAAUUCUAACGGAUCCUGCCGACAUUCUGCUUAAUAUGACAAUCCUACAUACUUGAUUGCAACUUGUUUUAUCUUCUAAUGAAUAUGAGGUCACAAUUGAUCAUCUUCAUCAUCAUCAACAACAACAGAAAAAUAUCCAAUACACAUGCCCUUUGUUGGUUGUUUAUAGUGCUACUGAUCAAAGGAUUAUGGCUUGUGAAAUGGAUGUCAAUUUCCUCAAACGUCUUGCUCGAAUUAGUAGAAUGGUGGACUCUGGUUCAAGAUCACAGUUUAACCUUGCUUGGUACUACCUACUUUUGCACUUGAAAUUCAACCAUGUAAACAUCUUACCUGCCUCUCCCAUUAUAAGCUCCUUGAUGUUGAUUGGAGUACAAAAUACGAACAAAAAUGAUUUUGGUUGAUAGAGAGAAAAUUGUAUAGGUACAAACAGUUUGGUUGAAAAGUUAUGCAAGUGAGAGAGAGGAAGAUAGGAGAGGAGUAUUGAAUAAGAUGGUUGAUGUGAUGGAAAAUGAUAAGAAAAAAUUACAAAAAAAUAUUGUACAAAUCUAUUGUAUGAAUAUAAUAAGUGAUCUCAUCUAUAUAUAACCCUACUACCAUUUUUCCUAAAAUUCCAUUUCAAAAUAUGUACGGAUCCUCAAGGGGUGCUUUUUUUGCCUUUUGUAUGCUCGAUCCAUGUCUUGAUGAAUAUUUCUAUUUCAAAUAUUUUAUUCAUAAAAAAGAAGUAUGAUGGAGGAACCCUUGAAUUUUCUCCCCGAGAUUUUCUUUUUAUUCUAUACGUUACUCCAGGUAACAUGAAAGCAUCUUUGAAGAGAAAAUAAAAGGAAUUAUUUUAUUUUUACAACAACUUUCUCUAACGUGAAAAAGAAUGGAAUUUCUAAAAUUAAAUUAAACGUAGAGAUUUUUUAGAUGGGCCAUUAAUUAUUAUGCACAGGAUAAGUAUUUACAAUAAAUAAAUAUUUUUCAAUAUAUAAAUUUAGCCUUAUAUAAAAACAAUCUUUUAUCCCAUGUAAUGCACAAAUUUAAAUGUUAGUUAUAUUUUGAAUUUAAGUUAAAAUAUUUAUAGUGUUCUGUAAACUUAUUUUAACGAUUGAUAAUUUCUUCUAAAAAAUAUUAAAAAUUUAUUUUAAAAUAAAGAUGGAAAAUUAGAUUUUAAAAAUAAGAGGUUAAAAAAUUAAGCAUAAGAAAAAGGAUAAGAUAUAAUGAUUUGAGAUAGUUGAGAGAAAAAAUUUGGCCUAGUUUAAAAUCAAAUUAACUUAAAAAAUGCAUUGGAAAAAAUAAAAAAUAAACAUAAAUGCUCAAUGAUAGUAAGAAUAACUCCUAAAGUCAUCUCAUUUUAAAAUAUUUUUUUAAAAACAUUAUCAUUUAAAAAUGACUUCUAAAAAUGUUCUUAUUUAAGAAUAAAAAUAAAAUUUAUAAUAUAGAAAUAGAUAAAUAAUUGUUAGAGAUGGAUCUUUUUUUUCUUUAAUUGUGCGUGAUUUACUUGUUGAAAAUGAUAAUUAGUUUUUUUUCUUCUUUCAAAAUUCCUAAUAUUAUAAGUAGAAUUCAUCUUAAAGUUACAGUAUAUAUGCUUUUUUUUAGAUUGGAAGUGAAAUAGAAAGAAAAAAAAAAUAAGUGAACAAAAAAUAAAAAAGAAAGAAAGAAGAAGGAAAGAAAUAAAUGAGAAAUAGAGUAGAAAGAAUAUGUUAAUUGAAUAAAUAGAAAUAAGAAGAAUAGAAAUGAAGAAAUUUCUCUUUACUUAUUUUGAUAAAGUAGUAGAUAGAAUAUAAAUAAAUAAAAAAAUUGUGUGAAAAAUAUUAUAAAGUUAAUAAAAAUACAUAAAUUUAAUCUAAAAAUUAAACUUUCUACUUUAUUUUUUUAACAAAAAUAUUUAUUAUCUUUUAAAAUAUUUAUGUUAUAAAAAUAUUUAUUUUUAAGAAACUAUAAAGAAAAAAAAAAUAAGAGAUAUCUUCUCUAGAUCUCCUGCCCCAUUUCAUGCCAAUUUGAGGGGACGGGGGAGUUUUUUCUCGCGAUUUCCAUUGACAAAAAUUUCUCCAAAAAUGUAGUAUUUCGAUCUAUCUUAUCUUUCUCUUUUCCUAUUUUUUCCUAAAACAAAUAAUGGGUUAGUACAUAGCCAAUAGCUUUUAACCAGCAGGUGGGUUGGACUUUUAUAUGUACAAAAAAUAGUAAGAUUAUUUAAAAAAAAAAACAUUUUUUCCAAAUUUUGAGUAAUCUCAUAUUGUUACAAUAUGAAAGAGGUUGGAACUAAUUGUCUUUGUUAAAUUAUAUAAAAAAUUCUGGCUCAAACAAUUAAUUAAUUAUGAUACAGAUAAUUUGUUUCUAUCUUUUCCCAGCAUAUUGGUCAUGUGACAAGAGAGACUCAAAUCCGAAACUGUGAUUGUUCUUUCUGAGUGUGAGUGGAAUAAGAUAACCUAUAUAUGCAAGCUUUUAGUGACUCAUGAAUAAGCAUGUAUACUUCUUUAUUGUUGAAAAAAAAAGGAAUCUGUGCUCUUUUUAAAUUGUUUUGUGCCUUGCAGAAUGUCUUUCUAAUUUCUCAUAAACGACAAAUAAUUUGGUAAACAAUUUUUUUUUUCCAAAAAAAAAGGCAAAACCAAUAUUUUGGGCUUUUAAUUACAAUGAUAUUUUUUGUUAGGUGCAUGAAUCCGAACAUUCCCAUAUAUAUACCUGUGUUGAGGUGGGAGGUGUGGUGGGGAAGCCUUGCCAUCAAAGCUAGAGGCCCAUUGGCAAUAAUUAUAUAUAAUUUUCUUAACUGGAAUUUAGGUUAGCACAUUAAAGAAACAACGGGUAGCAAGUUACACUGCAUGGCAACUGACACUUUCCUGUUUAGCCUCCGACAUGAGAAAAAUGUAUCACAUUUACUUUCUUCCUUCUAAAAAAAAUAUAAAAUUAAUAAACAAUAAGGCCAUAUAUAUUAAACAGUAGUGUCAAAAGCAAGAAUAAUUCCGUACUAGGAAAUUUAACCGAGUAUUCAGUUCAUGUCAUUGAAGGCUUCACUGUGCAUCCAUGAUCAGUUAUAACUCUGUCUCUCUGGUAAUUCACACGAUGUCGUAUCACAAUUCACAAAUCCGUUUCAUGGUAUACUCAUUGGGGUUUCGUGUGCCCGUGUUCAAAAUUUGCACUAUUUCCCUGAACGCUGUAAAAUAAAUAGAAAUUGGAUAUAUAUAUAUAUAUAUAUAUAUAUAUGGAUAGAGAUAUAUAUUGGUGCAUUGUUACCGAAUUAUGUAUAGUACCAUCACACUAGCUCUUCAUCAUGAAUAUACUAAUCAUAUCCAUUUUAUACGAAGAUGCACAGAAAUGCCAUGCUUCCGUGUCUCCCUGAUCAAUCUGAUUUUUUGUGGUCCUACCUUCUCUGCACAACUUGUGGCAUUCCCUUAAGCUAAAACGUUCCAAGUGUAUGAAAACAUGUGCUUUAUAUUUGGUAAAGGUUCUCCGUUUUAUCUUAUACAAUAGAAAUGCCAUGAUUAAUCCCCCGUUAUUCCCUCUCUCUACUGAUCUAGGCCAACAAUUACAAAGCUAGAUUCUGCCAUACCCAGAUGCUUAUUUCGGGUGUGAAAAUUCAAUUGAUUUUCAGAUUGGUAUGCUAAAUUGGGUCUAUUUAGCUCUUUUUACAACAAUGCAGUCUGCAACAUAGACACAGUGAUCUAGACAAAGUUCGUGACCAUGUGAGCGUGUAAAACUGUAAGUGUGAUAAAUUAAAUUACCAAAGAUUUCAGCACCAACUUGGGUUUCUAGAGAGAAAGAGACAGGCAGCCAGAGGAGAGGCUAAGAGAGAGAGAGAGAAGAGGGGAUUGAAAAUCAAUACGCCAAAUGAUGUCAGGAGAGAGGAGUGGUUAAAAAAAUGAUGUCACGUAGUGACAAAGGUUAACCUUUUUCACAGAAAUGUAGGAGACGAUGUGGAUUCACUAAACUAAAAGGGCAACAGGAAGAACUAUCAUCAUUAAUGAUAAAAAGGAUAGGUGGGGGAAUCUUCUCUGCAAGCACUGCCCUUUUUUUUCACCAUUUGAUUGAAUGAAUCAAAUUUUUAAAAAGUAAAUUAGUUAAUGGGAAAGUUCACCCAAUUCUACAGACAACUAGGAAACAUUAAUUUUUUUCUUCUUUAAUUUAUCUCAAAAAUAAAAAUUCAAUUUUCUACUGCCGCUCACCUUGCAUGGCUCAAACGUGUAGCAUCAGAUUUAAUAUACACACACACACACACACAUAUAUAUAUUGUGUAUGUGCUUUUUUCAACCCUAUCAUCGGAGGGUAAUUAAAAAACCCACAUUGUCAUUGUUCAUCCAAGACCCAACAGAAAAAGAACCUACCCAUUUUUUCACAGAAAACAGGACUGUUAAAUUCGGACAUUAAUUAAAUUAAAGUGGGUAUUUUCCAAUUCUUUCCUUAAAUUAAAUUAAACAGAAAGAAAACAAUUUGACCGGAUCAAAUUACAGAAUUAUGCAUCGGCAAGGCUAUAAAUUCAUCAGGUAAAGUGAAUCCUAUAUAUAACAAAGCCAUAUAUAUAUAAAAUCUCUAGAUUAAGAGAUUAUUAUGUAUAUCACACUGAAAAAUCUUCCAGAGAAAGAGAUCACAUAUAUUUACUUUACACACAUCAACAUCACACCCCCGGUAUAUAACAAAGAUGAAAGAGGGUUGUGAGAGUUACCGUGAAAGAAAGAUAAUUAGGAUGAGAAAAGAGAAUUGAAGAGGAAGAAGAUGUGUUCACCUUGUAUACUCUGAAUCUUGCAAGUGGUGGUAAGCCAGCUAGGAUACCAAAUUAAGGCAAUUAAAAGCCUGAAUUGCCAUAUUCUCCCACAGCUUUCUUGAGCUUCUAGGGCUUAAAAUGCUGGAAGUGGAGAGAUAUAAGAUGCAUAAGAAGUUCAAGAAAGCUGUGGAAAAGCAUGACCAGGACUUGAGAGGAAAAUUGAGCUCAGAUCUCACACACACAGCAUCUAGACUAAUGAAGGCACCAAAAGUUAUAAUGAGAAAAAGGGAUUGAGGGGUGUGUGGAGAUAUAGGGGAAGGAGGAAUUAGCAUAAGAAAGUAAAGGAGGGUGAGAAGCGAGAAAUAACCAUGCCCAUACAAAGUUUCUCGUGGACCACUCUACCAUUUAUAAUAUCAAUCUACCAGCUUUAUAGAGAGGAGAGAGGGAGGGGGUGAGAGUAGGGUUCACUUACAAAGGUGCAAUUUACCCACAAAAUGGCUUACUUUCCCGGUGAGUGCGCAGUGGGUCACAUACAAACACGUCAGAUGGGUAAAGAACAAUAAUCUUUCCAAAAAAGACAAAUCAAGAAAAGAAAUGUAAUUGACAGGCAAAUGAGAUUUUAAGCAACAAAAAGAAAAAUAUAAAUAUAGAGAGAGAGCUUUUGUAAUUUGAAUAAACCCUUCCCAUUCCCCUCACAUGCCACCAUGUGAGCAGGAUCUCUUUUUUAUUUUGUGUGUAGAUUUAAAGUAUGGGUUGUUUAUGGUCCCCAAUCUUUGUAUACGUAUUAAUUUGUUUUUCUUUCAAUUCAUUUGUAAAUAAAUAAAACAACCACACAGACUUACAAUAGUAGUUGCUAAUCAAUCAUUUUGCUUAUGUAAUGCAGAUGUUUGUUUUAUUAUUGAGAGAAUAAUUAAUCUGUGUAGAGCUAUUAUGAGAAUGCACAAUAUGGUGGCAUAUGAGGCUGCCCAAUGAAGGGACUAUUAUUGUGCACGUAUUAAAAAUUAUUUCAUGAACAUUCUAAAUGCUAUAAGACACCUAGAUAGAAAAAAAUAUAGAUAUAUUAUAUGAUUUAUGAUGUGAAAAAUAGAAAAGAGAAAAAAAGUUAUAUAUUACAUAAUUAUUCAAUCAUAAUUUAUUAUAUAUGAUAAAUUUAUUUGAUUUUUAAAAUAAUUAUGUUAAAGUAAUUUAAAUCAUGAUUUAUAAUUAAAUGAUAAUAUAAAAUUAUUUAAAAUUAUUAGUGUAUAGACAUUCAAUUUUAAAAAAAAUACAUAUAAAUGAGAAAUAUUAAUGAAAUAUUUAAAAUAAAUGUAUGUUUGUGUAUAUUAUUUCUCUAAUUUUAAAUCUAACUUAACCACGGGAAAGGGAUAAAAAGAAGAAGAGCUAAAGAUUGUUUCUAUAUAGAGGGCCUUUCUAUUUUUACACUUGUAUGAGUAUAUAUCCUGGAGCUAUUCCAGCUAUGCGCUACACAUCUACAACUAGCUACUUACACAAAUCAAGGUGUACUACACUAGAAAGUGGUUGAGUUUUUAAUGCCAAAUGUUGGCUCAAAUUUAAAAAUGCGCCCACUUUUAUCUGCACUUUUGCUACUUGAGAUGUAUCAAAAGAUUAAUAUGUCUAAAGUGUGUCCACCAUUAAUUCAGCUAUUUAAUAACGUUCAUAUUUUUGGCAGUUUAUUAUGUUAUAACAUUUUCUUUUAGUUUAAUUUCUUGAAUAUACGAAACAAUCAACUUUACAAGUUUUUUUUUUUUUUGGAGAAUAAACUUAUAAUCAAUUCUGCACAAAGUGAAAAUAAGCAAGAGGUUAAUAUGGUAACAUGAGCGGAAAAAGGCAAUAAGCGUGUGUUUCAAUAAUUUCCACAUUAGCAAUUCCUAUAAAUUAAACUCUUAAUUUUUUUCUUAAAAAUCAACAUAUUCCCUGUAUAUUUAAUAUAAUUUACUAACUCUAUUCAUUUUUUUAGUGUUUUGUAAUGAUGUAAUAUAGAAAUUAAAAAAAUAAAAUUAAUGUAAGAAAUUAAAUUCACGUUUUCAAAAAUUUAAAUUAAGAAUAUCAUGUAUUAUUAUUUAAGGAAGACUAAACUAAACAACUAAGUCACUUUGGAGAAAGUACAUCAUAAUUUAAUAUUCAUAGGUUUGUAAAAGUUAAAGUUUGACAGAGGAAAAAUAAAUUUUAAAAGGAACUAGUUUUAUAAGCUAUGAUUUAGCUAGGUAAAGAAGAAUAAAUUGUAAUAUUAAAAAAUGUACAAAAAAUAAUAUUAAAAAGAAUAUUUGAGAGUAACUUUUUUUAAAUGUAAUAUUUAGCUAACACUUUUAACAAAGGAUUUUUAAUAUAAAAACGUUAAAAGUAAUAAAUAAUUUUAAAGUUCUAGAACAACAUUAAAAUAAAUAAAUAACCAAUUAUCUUGUAAAUAAAAAAUCAUCUUAUCUCUUAGAUUAAUUAUUAUGUUUUAUUAUAUAAGACUAAACAUAAAGAUAAAACUGAGUCAAGAAAAAUAGAUAAUUAAACUUAAGAAUACUGAUUUUUAUCAUUUUUAUAUUUUAUUAUUUUAACUUAUUAGUUUUUUUUUUCUAAAUCUAAUCUAAUUAUUUUGACCUUUUUAAACAUGUUUCCAAAUCCUCGCCCCCCAGAAUGUAAAUUACCUUUUAGCAUGAAAAAAAAAAAAGUUAUGCACUAAAAAUGUAAAAUAAUUUUACACUAUCAUUUAUUCUUAAAUUAUUAUUUAUUGUAAGUUUGUUAACUUUAAUAAUAAAUACUUUAAAAUUCAUAUCAAUGAUGAUUUUUAAUUGAUUGAUAAUGUAAUUUUUUUAUAUUAAUAACAAGUAUAUAUAUAUCCAUUAAACUAAAAAUACAAAAGCAUCGUUUUCUUAAAUGAUUCAAAACUAUCAAGUUCUUAUUAUAUGCUUGAAUGUAGAAAAAUGUGUACAGGAAAGAAUUAGAAAAAAGGGAAAGAGAAAAUAAAUCAAAGCUAAACAAAUAAUUGUUUCUCUUUUAACUUUUUGUUUUAAAACCGAUUUUUUAAACAAUUUUACUCUACUCGACAAAUAACUUUUCAUCCAAAAAUAUAAGUUUUGAAAAUUAUUUUUGAACACAAGAAUUAAAAAAAAAACAAUUGGAAAAUAUUUUCUCAUAUUCUUCAAGCAUUUUGAUGAACUAUUAUACGGACAAUUUUUUUCUUAAAAAAAACAGAAAUAUAUUUCAAUUGUAUUCAAAACACAAACACUUUUUUUCAAAGAACUGAAAAUUAUUUUUGAAAACAAUAAACAAACACGGCCUAAAGUUCUAGGUUCUUUUUAUUAAUUAGCAAAUAAAAAAGAUACAUUGUUUCUCUACUUAUUUGGUUAGGUAACAAAGUAAAAGAAAAAUAAAAUAUUUUGAUAUAAAGGUUUUCCCUUUCUCAUUGUUGACAACUAUGUUUAUACAUUGUUAAAUUAAAAUGGAAUUCUAUCACCUUUCCAAGUUAAAAGUGUAUAUAGUUCUGACGACAGGUAGAGAUUAGUUAAUAAAUUUUUUUAUCAAACAUGUAUUAAAAUAUUAAAAUAGUAAAUACUUCACAGUAAUAAUAUGAUAAUAAAAAAAAGUAAUAUUUGUAUGAUAUGAAGGAUAUAUAGUGCGAGUAUUUAAAAGAAAUGAACAAAUCUCUCUAAUUUCUCUCUUUAUUACUUUCAUUGAACAAAACAUAGCAUAGUGUUUUCAAAAGUUAAUCCCACACCAAACAAAUUGAGAAUAAAUGAAGAAAAAAAAAUGCUAUUGUUAAAUUAUUGAGCCAAAUAUGCAUUUCUUUUAAGAUAAUCCACUUAUAACUAGUGUGCCAAAUUUAAAAAGUUUGGUAAAUAGGAAUCAAUGUUUUUACUGGUUCGAGUAGGAAUUAAAAGUUUAUCAACAAGUUAUUAAUUCGAAUUAAUUAAAUUUAGCUUCUUUAAAUUAGAUCUCAAAUUCAAAUUUUAUGAAUAAAAAAAUAUAAUUAAAAAGAAAAAUUUUACUAUAAAUUAUGAAUAAAUUUUUCAAAAGCAUUAAUAAAGAUAAUGGAUACUCCAUUGCGUACGUAUAAUAACACAAUAAGAAAAACUAAGAACUAAAAAAGGUUCCCUGAUACUAAUAUCAUUGAAUUUUGAAUCUCGUGACUCAAGAACUACAUCAGUACAUCUUUAGUCGUGGACCUCUACAACCAUUUUAUCUGGGAUUAGGUAUGUUUAUUUUGACCUGGCUCAUUAUAAGUUGGGCCGAAUGCAAAAUGGCCUAUUAUAAGUCGAGUAAAAAUUACAUUGGUAACUUUUUUAUUUAAUCGAACUAUCGAUGGUUUAUAUAAUUUAUUUAUUUAUAUAAUUAAAGUAUAAAACAUUUCUUCAAAUAAUUUACGAAAAUCAAAUUGUAUUGAAAAUUAAACUAAUUUGGUUUUUGUAUUUUAAAAUAUUUUAUUUAAAACGUACAAAUACUUGUUAAAAUAAUAUAAUAUUUGGGAAAUUUUAAUUUUUUAUAAUUAUAUUAAAUUAUUUACAAUACUUUUAAAUUUUAAAUUUUUUAUAAAUCUAACACAGUUUAUUAAAUUGUUUAAGUUGAUGUGUGAAGCUCUACGUAUUUUUGAGACCUGUGUACAGAAGCAUAAAAUGUACAUGUACUACUGUGACGGUGAUGAAUGAAUGGGAUGGGGAUAUGAUGACAUACGAUAGGACAUAGAGCCCCUCACACGAAGUUUGUAGGCGAUUGGGUUAGUUGCAUUGCAUUAUUAUUAUUAUGGCAUCAUAACAUAAAAUAUGAGAAGCGGAUAACAUAAGAUAUUAUCAUCACAUCAUGAUCAUGUGCGUGUUUCUAUCUUAAUGUGGUGGUGGGUUGUGGCAUUGUCGGUCACUAUCCCGAGCUCAAGUGGGUCCUCCAUAUUCACUUGAGCAACUUUACGUAUACAAAAAAUGUUUUUAUUUUAUUUCAGUUUCACAGGACGUAAUUCUAUAUUUUAAUUAUUUUACUAGAAAAAUUAAAUGAAAUACUACCUUCGAAUGUAAAUAAUAUAUAGAGAAAGAAAAAAAAAACAUGAGAGGUGUUAUUGUAAGGUCCACCUCAGGAGCAGCAGACACCAGUUAUAUCAGUUUGAUAUUCAGUUUGUUUUUCUUUUGUAGCGUACGGAGCAAGUGGGUUGGUUUGUUUCCAUUCGCAUGGAAGUGAAAGAUUUUACCGUGUGAGUGAGUGAGCGUGUGGUUCUAGUUAUGAUUUAUGACUUAUGACUUAUGAGUAUUCUAUACUGCUGCUCUGGAAUUAUUCCACUAAAAUUAUUGCAAAAUCAAAUGUUACUUCUAUCUGACUCUAUUCAGUAUUUGUUUUUUAUUUCAUUAAUGAUCUCCGUUACUUUUUUCAUCGAUCCCUAUUUUGUAUUAUAAAUUUUGAGUGAAUAGACAAUUUAGUCCUUGAGAUUGUAUUUAUUUUAUAUAUUAGCCUCUAACUUAUUAUUAAAUUCAAAAUAGUCUCUAUCUUUGCAUAAGUGUUGCAAAAUAGUCCUUCCGUUAAAUUUUAAAAUAAUGCCGUCAGUGAAGUCAAUUUUAGUGUCACGUGGACUAUUCAACGUGACACUAAAGGAUGACGUAGCAUGACAUGUAGGCGUGUCUCCUAAAAGAUGUCACGUCAUUUGAUAAUAACAAAACGAGUAAAUAGGCAAUUUAGUCUCUGACUUUGUAAUCCUGUUGCAUAUUAGUUCCUAACUUAAUGAAAAAUUCAAAAUAGUCUCUAUCUUUUGCAUAAGUGUUGCAAAAUAGUCCCUAACUUAAAAGAUGCCAAAAAUCGUGCUAAAGUGUUCGUGCAUUACAAAGGUUGUGCCUUGCAUGAUUUCUGGCAGCGCAGAUUCCUCCUUGGAUUCUUUGUCAUAUUUUGAUUCCUCUGUUUUUUUCUCUUUUUCUUUCUUUUCUUCUUCCUCUACUUUUUUCUCCUCCACUUUGUUUUCCUCUGGGUUUUUUUUCUUCCUAUUCAAAACACACACAAAAAAAAAAUCAAAACCUGGAAUAAUACAUUGAUGGUAAUUGAAGGAAAAAAAAAGAGAAAAAGAGAAUGGUUAUGCAUACCUCGCCCAUUGGUAUUGAUUGCUACAGAGAUAAGGUUGUUAUUGUGGAUUUUUGGUUCUUUUUAUUUGUGCAAGUGUGUGUGGGUUCUUUUUCGUAUAUAUACCUCAAUUGGUUCAGAAUCAUCAAAUUUGAAGAAGCCACUCAUUCUAACAUCAUCAAAUGGCGUGACACUAAAAUUGACUUCACUAACAACGUUACUUUAAAAUUUAACGGAAUGACUAUUUUGCAAUACUUAUGCAAAAGAUAGGGACUAAUAUGCAACAGGGGUACAAAGUCAGGGACUAAAUUGUCUAUUUACUCGUUUUGUUAUCAUCAAAUGACGUGACAUCUUUUAAGAGGCACGUUCAUGUGUCAUGUCAUGUCAUCCUUUGGUGUCACGUUGGAUAGUUCACCUGGCACUAAAAUUGACUUCACUAACGACGUUAUUUUAAAAUUUAACGAAAUGACUAUUUUGCAACACUUAUGCAAAGAUAGGGACUAUUUUAAAUUUAAUAUUAAGUUAGAGACUAAUAUACAAAAUGAGUACAAUCUCAAGGACUAAAUUACCUAUUCACUCUAUAAAUUUAUGUAUAAGUAGCAUCUCUAUAUUUAUUACUAACAUCAUGUUCAUCCGGGUGGAAAUGAAUUUCUUAAAUAAAAAUAUAUAUUUAAGGUUUUAUUUGACAAAAUUAAUCAUAAAAUUAGUUAAAAACUAAAAAAUUAAUUUAUUAAAUUAUAAAUAAAUGUUCGAUGAUCGAAAUAUCUAAAAAGUAUAAAAUAAUCAAAAAAUAAUUUAUUUUAAAAUGAUAAAUAAAAAAUUAAAUAUAUUAAAAAUAAAAAAAUAUUAAAAAACUUAUUUAUCAAUUAACCUAAUUGAACUUUUCAACUAAUAAAAAAAAUUUAAAAAUUAAUUAAAAUAUUUUACUGAAAAUAACCAAAUAAAUGAGAUUUUCCUCAAUAGAAUCAUCUCAGUUGGUAGAUAUUUUAUAUCUAUAAUAUGAUAAAAUGUUAUAUAUUUAUCAUUAAAUAAUUAAAAAAUUACUAAAGUUUAGACUUAUAAAAAUCUAUUUUUUUAAAAAGAUCUAAAAAUAAUUAUUGAAUACAUGAGUAAGUGAAAAUGAUAAAGAUUAUACAAAAAGUUGAUACUAAAUACUUUUCAUUUUUAAUUUGUAAUUAACUAAAUAUAAGUUUUAUAUUCUUCUGUCUCGCCAAUGCUCCCUUCUGCACUCACUGCCGGCCACAUGUCACACUGUUUGUUGCUGGCUGGUAGCAGCUAGCUGGUAAUUUCAUCUGCGCUCACCAAUCAUAGGGUUAGGAUAUCCAAUAACUUUAAUCCAAAUUUGUUGUUAUUUCAAAUUUUAUUAUUUGAAAAUUGUAAUUAUCAUAUUAAAAACAUUAUCUUAUUCAAUAACACAAUUCAAUAUAUACUAAAAAUGUAAAAAUGUAUAUAUAUAUAUAUAUAUAUAUAUAUAUAUAUAUAUAUAUAUAUAUAUAUAUAUAUAAUAUUAUAUUUUACACUAAGUUUUUUAACUAAUUAUUUUGUAUAUAUUUUUAAAAACUUUAAUGCCAAUUACACUAUUCGAAUUAGUAUCAAUAAAAUUAAAAUACUUUUAAUUGAACAUAUAAAAUUAAAUAAUUAAAAUAAAUAAUAUUCACACAUUUUUUCUUAGAAAUGUAAGAGUGAAAAUCAAUUAUAAGUUUUCAUUAAAAAAAUUAAAGAUGACAUAGUGAAUAUUGAAUCUAAUUGACUAAACGAACUGCUAAUUUUUGUCAAAAAUAACAAAUUUUAUUUCAAUUAGUUUAUAUGUUUGAUGAUAAUGAACCGACAAUUUAAACUAAACUAAAAAAAUUGAUUGAAUUAAUUGGCAAUUUUUUCUUCAAUUUCGAACAGGUCGUAGGCUUUGAUACUAUAUUGUUGGGAACUUUGAUGUGAUCGAUGUGAAACUAGCCAGGAACAAGAAAACCAUAAAGCAGCCAAUUUAGCGAUAACUAAUGCCAAUGGUAACAGAAAACUAAAAUAACUAAUAUCUUUAAAGAUUAAGACUUUUCUCAUGAACUGAGCAAUUAUUCUAUAAAAAAUGCAAUAAAUUCCUUCACCGACAAAUCAAUUAUUAUAUUUAAUUUGAGCCAGUGUUUCAAAAUUAGCCUUGAUAUGCAUAUUGCAACUUAUGUGCUAAAUAUUCUAUUAACAUUUAAAUAGUUAUAUCUUUAUAUUUUUUUUAUAUUGGUAAUUGUAUCUUUAUAUGGCAAACUACAUUGCUAUUCAAAUUGAAUAACAUUGGCAUGAAAUGUAUGAAUUAUAAUAUGGAUCGAUUGUUUUAAAUAUUAAAUUUAAAAAACUGAAAUUAUAAAAUAAGUUUUCGUGCACAAUGUGAUGUACGUAAUGAUUAGCAUUUUUCUAUGUAAUAAACGUUUAACGCAAAUAAACAUCAAAAUUGUGUGUGUGUAUAUAUGUGUGAGAGAGAGAUAAAUCAUAAUUUUAGUGAUAUUUUAUGAGAUUUUUUGUGUUAUUUUAUUGGUAGAAUUCAUGUUUUGACAUAAUUUUUAUCUUGUAGAAGUAGAAUUGCUUGAUCAAGUGAAAAAGUUAAAAAAUACACAAUCUCAUACAGAUAUGAUGUUAAUUUUAUUUGAUAACAAUUGGGGUACAUUGACAAAUAACAUGAUUAACUAGAAAAAUCAUGAUCAAUCAUGAGGACCAUCGUCAUUUCAAAACAUCUCAAAUUUUAGUUAGGAUAUUUUGAUAACGGUCGCGGUAGAUAUCAUCUUGACCAUAGUGAGUUUAAUUAAGAAAAUUAUCUUUAGGUGUUUAAUUAAAGUAAUUAUCUUUAGGAAUUUAAUCAAAAUAUUUAUCUAUAAUACACUUAAUUAAAGUAAUUAUUUUUAGAUAUCAUAUUAGAAUAUUUAUCUAUAAUGUGUCUAAUUAAAAUAAUUGUCUUUAGAGAUCAUAUUAUAAUACCUAUACAUAGUGUGCAUAAUUAAAGCAAUUAUCUUCAGGAAUCUAUGAAUAAGAAACUAGAGUCUUUACUUGGGGGAUUUGAAAUUCAUUAGACAUUUGACGAAUAACAAGAACUUUUGAGAGGAGAAUUGCACCAGCAACAAUUGGGGUCCGAAUCUGUAAAAAAAAAUUAUCUCUUUUAUUUCUAAUGUAUUAUUAUAUGAUGUUUAGUUAUUCUAUGAUCAUGAUUGGCUAAAUCCCUUAAAACUCAGAUUGUGAUGUAGUUAUACCUAUGUAUUUUAGUUCCUCUUUUUAAUAAUUUUUUAUGUUAUUCAGAUUGUAUCUAUCUAUUACUUUCACUUCUAUAUUGGAAUUGAUUACUCUGACUAUUAGUUAAUUGCGUAUUAGUGAUCAUCUUCUCGUAAUUAACUAACCUAUGGAAUGAUAGGAUUCAUAAAGCUUGCAUGAUCAAACUGGCACUAUAAAUUGUUUCUUACAAACUUCUUUGCUACUUAUCUUUAAUCCUAAAUUAAAUCCCAAAUGGUUGUAGGAUUGAUUUAGGGGGGGGGGGGGAGAGAGUAUCCUCAAACCCUUGACCAUGGGCUGAUUAUUAAAAUAAGAGGUAUUAAGAAUUAAAAUAAGAAUUAAGAAAAAAAUGGUACAUGUGAAAUCAUAAUCAAAGUUACUUUUAUUUAUAUAUAUCUCUUCCUUAAAAUUAUUGUCUGUCUUUAAUUUUAUUUUUUGAAUGCAAACAUAAACAAUCUCCAACUCAAGAUAAAAACUCAAAAUUAUUUAACUUAUGUGAUUUAAAUUAUUUGGGAACACAAAUAGUCUCUAGAAUACGAUAUCCAAACUUUUGAGUCCGUUGUUAUUAUUGCGUAGGAUACACUUAUCUUUAGUGAAUACAUAUUUUAUGCAUCAAUAUGUAAUAUAAUAUGAAAAAUCUGGAUAAAUUAUAAUUUUAGUUUCCCUAUACUUUUAUAUUUAUAAUUUUAGUGUAAUUCUCAAUUUUAAGUACGUUUUAUUUAUUUUUAUUUAAUCUAAUUGAACAAUGGGUGUAACACAUUCCUUUAAGAUACUGUUAAGAAAAAUAAAAUAAAAAUAUAAAAUAGUUUAACAUAUUCUCAAUUAGUGUGACUGAUUAUCCUAUUAGACUACAUUUCGCUUAUAAAGGGUAACAUGGUAACUUCUUGGAUGAUUGAGGGUACUUAGUGUGUCUUAGGUAAAAUGUGCAUCGAAUAUGGAAUAAAAUAAUACUAUUUUAUUCUAGAAUAUUCUAAAUGUUUUAGAAGACUAGUUGUGAUUAAUUUGGCUAAUCACAUUGACUUUCAUGAAAAGGUUGAUUGUCUUCUUGCAUAAAUUAGUAGAAUCUUUUACUAUUUGUUUUGUCACACAACUAAGUUUCAAUUGAAUUAAUAGUUGAAAAUUUUCCAGAAAAUCUAAUUAAUUAAACUUUAUAAUCUAAUUAACAUUUUAACUUAUAAAUGAUGCAAAUCAAGUUAAUCAUGAAGGUAGAAAAACUAAGUGUUACACAAGAUGAAUGGGAUGGAUAUCCAUGAUUGUCAUGUAUUCAUGGUAUUUUUACUCAACAGUGCUUUUCAUUAGUUAUCAAAAUGUGUAUGGAAACCACUUACUGAAUUGAGUAAUAACAUGUUUCGAUAGAUAUCAUAGUUGAUUUCGAGAUGCAAAAUCGUGGUGAAAAAUUGGAAAAAUAAAAAAAAAGUUGUACUUUGACUCUCAACGUGAUUUUGGAAUUGAUUAUAAAAAAAUUGAAUCUAAUCCAAAUUUUUGUUGCAAUACACUAAAGAUGAAUGACUUGGUUAGGUUAGAGCAAAACAUUCUCAUUAUCAUAUGCAAGUUUGAAAAGAUUUUUUUUUACCAAAUUUCUUUGACUCAGUGGAACAUCACCAAUUUACCUACCCAAUGAAACAAUCCUAGGCGCGGUUUGAUUCGAUAUCGACAAACAUAUACAUUUGAAAAAUAAUUGAGUUAUCCCUUUUAACUCUUAAUGGUCAUUAUAAUUUUUGAACUAAAGCUCAGAGUUGUAUUAUGAUCACUUUGCCUGCAAAUUUAUGGGAUCGACUCAACGUGGACAAUGAAGAAUAAGGCUUACAUUGUGAAACAAUCCCUUUCUUGCUCUCAUUAAUUAUUCCAAGAACUUCUGCUAUUAUCAACAAUAGAUUUUAAGAACUGUCUUAAUCGAGACACCAAGACUUCCUAUUAUGGAAGUUUAACUAAUGAAUAACUUAUUUGACGAAACAAUUAAUGAAUACGUGGGAAUAAACAAUUUAUUAUCCUUAUAACAAUUCAAUAGAGAAAGAUGGUCUAUCAAAAUAUGAACAAUGUUUCAAAAUAAUAUAGUGAUGAAGUUGAGGAAGAGAACAAUAAAAUGUUAUACUUAAAAACAUCCCAUAAACUAAAAUUAAUUCAAAUUGCACCUGGCAAGGUAUGGAUCUGAAUUAAAGACCUCACAAAAAAAAAAAAAGAUCUGAAUUAAAGAAAUCAAAGAAACAUAGUAAAACUCAAAACGAGUCGCACAAUUGCAUGUGAGCUGUAAAUGAGUAUAAUAUAAUUCCGUCUCGUACUAAUUUGUUCGCUAUAUAUUCUUGAUGACUGAAAUUUAAUUUCCCUCUUGAACUUUUGGAUAUAUAACAGCGAUCCCUAUUUUGUUUUAACUAAUAUACAUUUCUUCUUAAUUAAUCCUGAUAUAAGACCAAUGAAAAUUUAAUUUCCCUUUUGAACUGCUGGAUAUAUAACAUCGAUUGCUAUAUAUGUGUACAUGCAUUAACAAACUUCAUUUGUCUUAUAUCAGGAUUAAUUAAGAAGAGAUUGGUCACGAGUCACGAGUCACGAGCCUCUAUCAAUUUCUUAUUCUGGUUUUAGGCGUGCAAACUAAGGAUGAUUACAAAAAUUACCAUCCCACGCAAAAAUUUCAAAAAUAGAAUGGGAAGAGGAAAGAGCACGAACACACUCAGAGGUAAAAAGAAAAGGAUUGUUACAAGACGCGUCCAUUAGAAUAAUCCAAGCCACUAGUUGACAAUUUUUCAAAGUCACAUCUUUCACUUCUUGAUUCCCAAAAGUAUGAAUCUUUCCAGUUUUCCACCCUCUUUGUGGUUAUUUGAAUUUAUUUAUUAGUUAGCCAGAGUUCCGUAUUAGGUGUCAGUUUCUUAAUCCAAUACCCUACCACACACAGGCACACCCCCUAAUAAUGAUUUACACUCCAAAAAAAAAGUUAUAUAUAAAAUAUAUAGACACACAAACACUUUAUCUCUAAUUAAGUGAUAUAUAUAUAUAUAUAUAUAUAUAUAUAUAUAUAUAUAUAUAUAUAUAUAUAUAUAUAUAUAUAUAUAUAUAUAUAAAAUAUCACCGAAACAUGGCGUUCUAAUUGGCUUGUUUUUAAUAUACCAAAACUCUAGGUAGAUAUGAUAUAAAGAUAAUAUAUAUGUCUCACGUGGUGGAGGAUACAAUUAAACAUCAUUGAUGCGGCAGUAGCCAGAAGAAUUUCUGUCAUGCCACCACCACAGCACUCAGCACCGGCCGGGAUCACCGCAUGUUCUUUGAAUGCGUUUUAUUUUAUUUUUCUUCCUGAUGCUGUUUAUAUAGGUUUCAAAAUCGACCAUUUUAGCAUCCAACAAUUGUUGCGUGAUUAGAAAUGAUAGUAGGCUAUUAGGCUAUAUAUAAUCAAAACCAAGUAAUUAAAGCGAAAUAUAUAUAUAUGUGUUUGGAGAGUGACUAAAUUAAUCAAAACUAACAUUGCUGAUAUCAGUGAUUUAUAAACCACCUGAACGAUGUCCCCUCUUCCAUUAUGAUCAUAAUCAUAGCCGGAGCUAACCAUCAAAGUACGUGCGAAGUAGUUGUUAACUAAUUUUCACUAGAAAAAUCUAAUUAAUCAAUGAGUCUUUCUUUUUAAUUAUAUUUUUAUUUAUUUUGAACAUAAAAUCUUAUUUAAAGAGAUCAAAUUUAGUAUCAUUUGAAUUAAUAAUUUCUAUAUAUUUUGUGUUGUUCCUUGUAGUAUAGUAGGUGCAUGUCUUACAACAUGUACUUAGGUAUGUAAAGCCACAAAAUUUCCAGGUCCUUAUCCUACCUUAAUAAAUUGUAAGCGACUAGAAAUUUUAUGGCAGCAACUGUAAGUGUGUUUGGAUAAGCAUUUACAAGCUUAAUUCUGGUGAUUUUGUAAAUUAAUUCUAAUUAAAAGUGAAUUUGAAGUGAAAUAGGUCAGGUUGGAAACUUUUAUUUCAAAAUGCAAGUUUCAAGUAAAAGUACAAAAUUUUGAAGUACAAUGUUUAGGAGUAAAAUCAAUUCUAACUCAAAAACAAAACCAUAAUUUUCUUUACCCAAAAUCCCAUAUAUUCCUCCCAUCCAAACAAGAAACAAUAUUCUCCAAAGCAAAAUAACAUUAGUAUUCCAUAAAUUGGUGUCUAUGAACUGCAAUUUAUAAUUAGUAGGUGGGUUAUAAAUACUGCGGUGAAUUUUUGUACAGACUAGCUGGUGGUUAUAUCCAAACCUGGAAAUGUGCAACCUCCCUACCGUCAAACUUUAAGUUCAUAAAAAAAAUUAAAACUAAAAAUUCAUGCAAAACACUCUACACACAUUCGAUCAUUUGCCCUCAUCAUGAAUUUGGAGAAGGAUAUUCAACCUCGUGGGGGCCUGCCAUAGUCUCAAUUAUGGGUGUCAAUGACAUCAGAUCAGAGAGGGAAAAAAGAAAGAAAAGGGUGGUUAUGGAUUGAGGAAAUUAAAAAUAGAUUCAACUUUGGGACGGUAAAUAUGCAAUAGAAGUAUAUAGUUUGAUCUUAGUGGGGACAUGGUUGGACUCAGCAGUCAGCUGGAGCUUUGUCCUAUUGUUCAUCUGCAUGGAACCAAAUUCUGCACUUGAAGCUUAUCACAGACUAAAAGUAGGGAGACUUCUUAGGCUUUUAGGGUUGCCACUGAGACUAAGACUACUGGGGACAAAGCUAGCUAGGGUUGAAUUUGAAUUGAAUUGAAUGACCUUAUUUUUGCAGUGGCAGUCUCCCACGGGUCACACUCUCACUCAGCACCAUUUGCUUUUUUUCUGCAUAAUGGACAUCUUUUUUUUCUAAAUUAAGUUCAAGAUUGAGGGAAAUAUAUACAGCCAAUGGAAAACGUCAUGUUAUGUGUAAAAGCCACAUAAAAUAAUAAUGGAUACAUGAUGGAUCUUAUAAUAUUUUCAGUGUAUGAUGAUGGUUUAUAUCAUUGCAAUUCUCUCUCCUAUUUUUGCCUUUUGUUUAUAUACAUAUAUAUGUUGUUUGUAAUUAUUUAAUGAUGAUGAUGAUGUCAUUGUUGUAGUAUAAAAAAAAUGAUGACUCUUGUUGGUUGCACAUGUAUAAAGCAGAGACAGCCUUGAGCUAUGUAAGGUCUAUUCAACUACUCAUCAUAUUUGGUACUGCUGUAUAUAAAUGUUAUCAGCUGAAGACAAUUAGAGAGGCCCAAAGAGCCACAGCAAUACUAUAAUAAUCUGCAUGGAAACUUAAUGUUUGAACAUGCUUGGCAUUUUGGAUUAUAAAUAAAGAUGCUUAGUAUUUCAAGUUUUGAUGUUAUAGUUCAGGGCUCAGUGGCCAGAGAAAUCAUUCAGCAGGGGUACCAUAUGUAUGCAAUGUCCCUAUUGUUAUACUAUUCAUCUAAUUCUCUUUCGUCACUAAGUUGUACCAUCUCCCUCUCUAUAGCAUGCGAAGGGGUCCAUACGCCACAACUCAUCUAAUUGGUUCAUCUUAGAUCUGCAGAGAUGCCACAUAUAUACAGAUGUGGUAAAGUCAGAUAUACGAUAAUAUACUCAGAACUCGGAAUCUAUUAUGCUCACAAAUGGAAGUAGAAUUGAUGUAUUUUGAUGAAGGUAAUUUUUUCUUUCUUUCUUUUUGAUGUAGCUACAAUUGUUGUUCUUAAAAUAAUAGAGUAAAACUUAAAAAAAAUAGUCUAAUUAAUUCUGAGAGAAUCAUGCAUGCCCAUGAGCAAACACAAAGUUCCUGCAUUUUGAUGCAACAGCUAGGUUCAGAAAUUCUGAUGCACUAGGUAUAGUAUGUGCCUAGGUCAUAGUUAUCUUACAGGCACAUACCAAUUUUAUGUAUAUAAUUGUCUUUUCAAUAAAAUCUUAUUAGCCAUGUAUGUAGUACGAAACGACGUACUCAUAUUUUAUUGUAUAAGUAUUAUAUAAAAAAGUGUUUGACCAACAUUAAUUAAGUAGGUUUAUGUAUUUUGUUGUCUAAAAAUCCGUACGCAAAAUUCACACGAAUGAGGAUUUCUUUGAACUUCAUUUUUCUUUUUUCGGUUUCCAAAAUCUAACUAUUCAUGUUGGAAUUGAAUCUUUUGUGAAUUAUAUUUUUUUCAUUCACAGAAUUAGUAAAAUUUUCCUUGUGAAUUAUAUUCUUUUCAUUUAUAGGUUUAUGCUGUUAGCCUACACUUACCUAAAGCAUAAAAAUUAUGAUGAUAAAAUUAUGUAAACUACUAACCUCGAACCUCAGUCAACAAAAAUACUAUAGUAAAUAUGCUAUAUCUCAAUUUUUAUUAUAAUAUUAUAUCAAAUAUUAUAACCUCGGGUUGGGCAGAAACCUAAAAGGAAGAAGGUGAAAACUACAAGUUCUCGGGUACCAGCACCACAGAAACAUUAGCAAGAAUCAAAGGCGACAAGAAGUGGAGCAUAUCUACUAGCACAUGGGAAUCUCCAAUUGCAGAGUAUGAUUGGCUAAACAGUCAGCACAGACAUUCUCCAUUAAAAUGUAUGAUGCACUCCCAACAUCCAAUCUUAAUUGAUCCCGUCAUAAUUUCACCGGUUUCAAUAGCAGCACAUAAGGGGUCAAAAUCUUAAUUUGAUUUGGUUUUGUGAAAUACAUGUUUGGACUCAGUGGUGGAUCCAAGAUCUUAAGUGGGUACAAAUUAUAAAAAAAUAAAAUUAGGGAAGUUAAUUAUAUAAAUAUAAAUAAAAUAAAAUAUAAAAAUAUAAGAUUUUAUUUAUAAAUUUAAUGAAUUUUAAAAAAUGAGAGGUGUAAGUACACACCUUCAUAUCAAUGUAGGUCCGUCACUGUUCGGACUCAUCAUUAAAAAAAUGUGAUUUGGAUUUGAAUGAUUUACAACUCAAAUUACAUAUUAGGAACUAUUAGAAGUUUGAUGGAGCACUUUAAUUAAUAGACUAAUGAUGAUUAGGCGAGUUAAAAGAAUUAAAAGAGACUAUUUUCAUUCAAAACCUUAAAAUAUCGGGUAUCUGAGUUACAUUUUUACAUCUCUUAUAUAUUUUUCAUCGAGUGGUUUUCUUUAAUGUUGCCAUUAACAAGACACGUUAUCUAGCCAACAUUAAUACUUUUGAUAUAUUUAGGAUCUUGCUCCCCCUCAGGUCUAACUAAACUUUGAUAUAUAAUAUAUUUGCUAAGGAAUCCGAAAAAAUAACAAGAAUUAAUGGGCUAAUGACUAUAACUUAAUCGAAAACCACAAUUCCACCUAAAACUAUAAGGCAUUAAGUAUAUGGGUCACAUCUCUUAUAUAUUAAUUUAUUGAACUAUUUCCCAGCUAUGUAAGACUAAUUAACCACUCACACUUAAGUUUAUGAUAUAUAGUGAUCCCUUCCCUUAAAUUCGAGUCUCCACGGUUUUAUGCUUUUUUAGCGGCAUAUGCUCUUGCUCUCCUAGGCCUAACCAAGAUCUAAUAAUACAACUUAAUUGUCUAUGAGUUCGGAAAACAUUAAGAAGGGUUAAUGUGCUAAUAACAAAGACUACCAAUAGAACCAAACACCGCAUCUCCAUCAAAAAUCUUAAGGCGGGCAUUUAAUAUAUGAUCAUAUAUCUUAUAUAUAAUUCAUUAAGUUGUUUUCUUUAGUAUGGUGGUUCACAAAUGAUAAAAAGACAAAAUGUCUAACAAAUCUUACCAUUAGGAAGACUUUUAAUACAGUAUUAUAUUCUCUAUUAUAACACUCCUUAGUUUGUUUAAAAGUUAUUAUUAGGAGUGAUAAAAUGCAUCAAUCCCUCAUUGGUCUGUUAAAAAUAAAUUGGAGCAGUUUGAUCCACAUUGUAAAAGUGGGUCAAAAGUUUCACCUCACCUUAUACUCGGAUCCGGCAAGUUGGUGAGCUUGCCAAAACAAAAUAACAACGGAUUGUAGGUUGGUAGGUCAAUCUGUUAAAAAGUAAAAAUUAUUAUAUAUAUAUAUAUAUAUAUAUAUAUAUAUAUAUAUAUAUAUAUAUAUAUAUAUAUAUUAAUUUACCAAUAAGAGAUAUUCAAUAAUAAUUAUUUGGUGAAAAAAUUAUAUGCAUUAUCUUAAAUUUUAAAUAAUAAUUUAUUUUUAAAAAAAAUAAUAAAAUGAACAUCAAUAAUGCUUGCACAUAAUAAAAUAUAUUAAUAAUAUUUUUUAAAAAAAAGUUAGUAAUAUGUCAAGCGAGUCUAGACUCUUCCUCAACCCAUUUUCUAACGAUUCAAACGCGUUGAAUAAAAGCAGGUUGGUGAGUUGAAAAUUUGAGCCUAUCUCACCAAAAAAGGGCCAAAUGGGAAGAUGUAGUGAGUCAAACCCAUUUUGUCACCUUAGUAACUUUUUGUGUGUGUGUGUGUGAUUCUUUAAUAACUCUAAAACCACUUGUUUGAGAAUCUAAAGGAACACAGUUAAUAUAAAUAAUAAACAAGAAACCCUUUGAAUUAAUUAGUACCAAUGUACCAUAGCUUGCAACUCUCAUGUCGAAAUGAGAAUGGAGAAACUGAUCGAGUUCUGGAUAGAUAGAUAUAUAUUGUGGCAAAAGAUAAGUGAGAUAAUAUAUAAAUAUAUAUUGACCUAGUUAUUGUACUUAGCAGUAAAAAUUGAGGGGAGAUGGGCAGAAUGAAAGUAUUGUGAGGAAAAAAGCAAAAGAGAAGAAGUGUAGUAAAGGAGUGUGCUAAAUAAGAUGUAGUGAUUUUGGAAGUAAAAAGGCUGUGAAUGAAUGAAUCCACUCCCAAGCGUGUGGCAGCAGUCUGAGCAGAACAAGAGGGGCUACCUAGCUUAGCUUAGCUACAUUUACAUACUCAUAAUAAUAAUUUGAUUAUUUAGAAUAUUUUGAUUCAUGAUAUAUAAUUGAAUACUUUGGUCCCACGCGAGCUAUCCUCCAAAUCAACACAUGGCCAUGCCAUUCUUUACAAUAAUAUGAAUAAACUGUCAAUUUUUUAUGCUUGACAAGUCAGGUGCACGAGCACCCGCGGCAUCUAAUGAUAUGUAGUGGUACGGAUCCCUACCAUCGUAUCAAUCUAUUUUAAAUUAUUAUUGUUAUAUCGUAAUAUACAUAUAUUUACUUUUAGUCCUUCACAAUUAACUAACUCAAAUCAUAUUUCUAUACGUCCAACUAAAAUAGGAUUAUAUGUAAUCAAAUAGUAAUUGUUUGUAUUUUAAAUUUUACAUUAUACAUUAAAUAAAAUAACAUGAUAAAAUAUUUAUUAUUUUUUUAGUAUAUGAAAUUUUAUAAUCUUAAUCUAUUUUAUAAAAACUUUAGACUAACCGCUGAAUUGGUGAUUUUUUUUUAUAAUAUAAAUUAUUGAAAGUGGCAUGCAUGUUUCUAUAAAUUUAACUCUUAUGUGAUUUUUUUUAAGAGAACUUCAAAUUUAUUGAGUUGAAAAACAAAAACUAGGCCUCAAGUUUAUGUUGUUGAUUUUUUAGUUUUUACGUAUAGGUUUAUUUUUUUUUAGUUUAAAUUAUUUGAUAAUAAAUUUUACUAUAUUAUAUGUACUUACUUUAUUAGUGAAUUACAUAAUUUAAAAAUAUGUAUAUACAUGAAUAUUGUUAUAAGAAAAUUUUCAAAAUUAUUUUUAUAUUCAAUUUGAUAUCAAGAUAGUGAUUGAAUGAUUGACCAUAGGAUGAGAUAUUAGAAUUACUUUAUUAUUAAAUCUUAAUUAAAAAGAAUAAAAUGUAAUUUUAAUCACCUUAUUUUUUUAUUAAGAUAUUUUCUCUUUUAUUUUAGUAUGUCAUUUUUUUUAUUUGAGAAAUUUGGUCUCCAAUUAUAAAAAAUUCAUAAUUUUAGUUAUCAUGACAAAAUUUUAAAAAGUGUGUAAUCUUUUAAUAUUUUUUUUAUACAAAUUAAGGUUAUUACUAAUUAAAUAACUAAGAAAAAACAUGUCACAUUACUAAUAAACAAGCACAAGCACGUGUCAAGUCAUUUAACGGUAAUAAAAUAUCAUUAACAUUUGAAAUUGAGUAUAAGAACUAUAAUCAUAAAUUUCUUAAGAAUGAAAAAAAAAAAUCUUAAUCAAAAAAUAAAAAAUUAAAAUUGUGAAAUUUUAAAAAAUGAAAUACAAAAUGAUUCAAUUAAAAAAUAAUAAGGGACUAAGUUGGGAUAUUUAAAAAAAUUAAAAGACAAAAAGUACAUUUAAAAAAUAUAAAUGUGUAAAUUAUAUUAUAAUAGACUCUAACAUAAAAUUUGGCUGACAAUUAUAUUGCUGUAAUGCUGUCAUAGUCACCCAAGAAAGGAUUUCAGGAUUUGCAUUGGUGAGGAUAAUGAAAUUAAAUUAAAGAGGAAAAGAUUGAAAUGAAAAAAAAAAAAGCACGCGCAGACACACGGGAGACAGUUAAUAUCACGUGGGCUGAGUGGGGUCUUACAGGUUCAUCACGUGGCAGACCUAAUCUAGACCAUAGUGGGGCUGAGGGAGGAGCGCGUGGUGAAUGAAUGGUGAUGGGAGUGGGACCAUGCUAAGGAACGUGUAAGUAGGAGCAUGUGAUAAUUUCCCAAAGGGAAAGAGGAAUAAAUAAUAAAGGUGUAGGAGUACGUUAGAACGGGACGGGGUUGAUAGAGAGAGAUGGAGAGGUGGGAUUGUCUGUUUCCGUAUCAAGUCGCCUUCAUGGGGUCACUGCCUCAGUUUAACAGCCUGUUCGACUUCCUCUCCACAUGCAUCAACGUAAAUAAUAUUUCCAUUUCAAAUAAAUACAUUAAUUAUGUAAUGUAAAGCCCGUUACUUAUUAUUAAUUCAUUAAGUUUAUACAAAUAUAAAAUUAUUUCCAUCCACACUUGAUUUAGUUUCAUUCUUGUCUAUUUAUACAUUUUUUUUACUGGUUAGAAUUUUCAAAUGAAAUUUUUUAAGGUAUCAUUCUCAACAUGUUUAGGGUGGACGGCCGCUCAAGGUAAUAUAAUAGAAUAUCUAUUUCAAUUAUUAAUUUUAUAAUCACUUACAAUUUUAUUUUUAUACAUUUUAUGUUUUUAUAGUUUUAUUUUUUUAAUUAAUUUUAAACUCUUGUAUUUUUUCAUUUAUAGAUGAAUGAUUUUAAUUACUUUUUAGUUUCAAUUUUUUUUUUUCAUAUUAUGUAUUAUACUAUUCGUCUUUUUUUUUUGGUAAAUAUAUUAUACUAUUAAUCUUAUAUUAUAUCUUAAAAUAUUUUCAAUCAAAAUUAAAAUAAAGUAAAAAUAGUAUACAACGUACUUUCACUGUAUUAACUAGUGCAAUAGUUAAAAUAUUUUGAACUAUAAUGUUAAAUACAACAUAAAAAAUAAUCUAAAUAAUUAUUUAAUGGUCAAUAAAUGGUGUAAUACCAAAAUAUUGCACAGAUAAUAAUAAUAAUAAAAAUAAUUAUUAUCUAUCAUUAUUAAUUAAUAUCUUGUAUAAUAAAAGGAUAUAAAUAAUAAAAUUCUAUCUUAUUUAAAGAGAAACAAGAGAAAAAAAAAAUAGAGUCAUUAGAGAAAUUACUUAUUCAUUAUUACCUUGUGAGUGGAAAAAGAGAAACAAAAAAUAGAGUCAUUAGAGAAAUUAUAAAAAUUGAACCAAAAUCAAGUUUGAGAUAUUGAAUUCUUCAAAGAUAUUUAAUUAUUUUCUUAAUGAAUAUUGCGCAACUUAUAAAAAAAUAUUAAUUGUCUUUGUUAUUGAUUUAUUGAGAGAAUAUUUUGAAAUUAAAAUUUGUUGAAAAUUUAUUUAUGAUUUACUAUGUCACAAGGUAAUUAAAAAAUCUUCUUUUAAUUUCUAUCAUUUUUUUAAAGAACCUUAAUCAUGAACAAAUUAUUUAUGAUUUUGAUUUUUUUAAGAGAAACAAUAUUCAAAAUAAUUAUGAGAGCUCCAUUUUCUCAAUUCGCACAAAACACCAAAAAUCUCAAGUCGACCCCUAAGCUAAAUUAAACGAUUCUGGCUUUUGUAAAAAGAAAAAAAGAAGAAGAAGAAGAAGAAAACAUUGAUAAAGCUAAAUUUCACACUUGAUAACCCUUUUGGAGUAUUUGGAUCGUGAGGCAAGGUUUUCAUAUAUAUAUAAAAAAUAAGAAGAAAAUGAUAAAGAUCUGUUUUGAAAAAAAUGAUAAAGAUAUUAAACAAAUGUGUGAUUUUGUUCAUAUUCUUUUUUUAAAAUCAUAAAAUGUCAAAAUAAAAUUAGGACAAAUCAUAUUCAUAUUGUAAAACUAACUCAAGAACAAUCCCUACCUUGUGAAAUAUAUUCAUUUUUGUUUCAAAAUUUUGAUUCCAAUGUGUUAUAGUUACAGAACAAAGUUACAUUAUUAUUUAAUUAUGUACUGUCAUGUUAUUUAAUAAUUUAGUCUAAUCUAAUGAUUUGCAUUAUCAUACUUAUUAUGAGUUAUCAAUAUAUAAAAGUAGAGAUAAUGGAUAAAAAUUAAAUUAUUAAUUUUAUAUAAACAUACGUUUUUUUAUUUUUCACAAGAUAAAGACACACAUAAUUUUCAAUAUUAGUUAAUUAAUAUUGAAGGGGAAAAAAGGAACUAAUGAAGGAAGCUUGCAAUGCAGUUGCAAACUUUUUUCUUUGGCUAUUGCUUUGGUGGAAUUACUAUUCCCUUAAUCGUAUGAUUGGGGAUUUGAUUUCCAAAUCUAUGUAUAUGAAAAAGUAUUAUAUGAAAGAUACUUACUUCUUUAAUAGAUUUUAUGUUUCUCGAGAAAUUAGUUAUUAAUCUCUAAUAAAGAUAUAUUUAAGUUUUUUUAUUUAUAAAAAAAUACUACUGUGGGCACCACUUGAAAAGUUAGAAUCAAAUCAUAACUCCUUUAGAAGUGGAGCAUAAGCAGAAUAGUAAUAAAGCCCCAACCACUGGUGUUCUUGGGCUCCUACCUCAAGUACCUCCUGGAAGGACUUCUUCCCACACUUUCCUGCAUGUGAUAACGAAUAUAUAGGAAUAGUGGACCAACCUCUUCUGUUUUCUUUCUUCUUCUUUCAUUUUCACUUCUCUCUGGCUUCAAUCUCUAUUGUUUUCCAAAAAUAAAAAUCACAAUUUUCGCUGUGUGAAAUUAUAAAUAAUAUUCUAGUGGGAUGCUUUUAUUUUGGAUUUAACAAUUCGAUACAUCCAAAAGUUGAUAGUGAUACUUAUAAACUGAAAUCUCUCUUCCAAUUUUUUUUCAUCCCAGUCAAUUGUGGUAAAUUUAGUAAGUAGCCUUGGUGCCAAUUUUUAGGCUUAAACUAAAAGAAUUAAAAUGAAGACUAAGGCAGAACUCAGGCGCGUGAUGGAUGAAAAUUUCUCUCAGGAGCCAGGAGGUUAGGCAUCAAAAUAGAUGAUCCACUCGUUGUCUCAUGCAAAUUGCAAUUGAAUGGCCCAACUAAAGUCCUAAUAUUUUUGGGCUUUCUAAAAGAUUAAUUUCGAAUAACAUUUCUAAGAUCAAACCAGUAUAAUAUUUAAUUCAUGAAUUCCUGGCCCGGGUUGAUGUUAUUUUAAGGUAAAUUAUUAAAUUAUUAUUUAAAUAAGAAAUAAAUUCUAUCAUUUCGAAAUAACACAGAAAAGAAGUAACACAUACAACUUUAAAACGUUGAACUAUUUUAAUUAUAGUUAUCUCUUUAUUAUUUUGAUUCCUUUUUUCUAUACCAAUACUGAUGUGUUUUUAAUCAUAAAAAAGGGAUAAACUAUGGAUUAAUUUUUGUCUACUAAUUAGCGUAAAAAGUUUUAAAAGUAUCACUCACCAUGUUCUUUUUUUAGAGGAAUUUCUCACAGUAAUAUUUUUAUCAUUUGUCAAAAGAUAAUGGAAUAAUAUUGUAAAUAAUUUAAAUUAAUCGUGAACCAAGGCUAAAAUUUACAAUUUUUUAUGCUCAUAAUUGAAUUUUUUGAAAAAAAUUAAAUAAUUUUUAAUAAAAUAAUUAAUAGUAACAAAUUUUAAUGAUAAAUUUUAAAAAUUAAUGUACCAUUUUUUUUAUGAGGGAUUGGACACAAAAUGCAUCAGGAGUCGUCGAGGCCUAAGUAUUUUAUUUUUGGUCCGUCCAUUGGACCUAAAUAAAUGGCCGAGUUAAAUGCCGUAGCCCGUAAGAGGCUUCACUGGCUUGGAGCCCAUAAAAUCUACAGGUCAUGCCCAAACAAUGAAAAGCAAAAUAACAGAAGUGAAGAAUUAAAGAAAAAAUGCAACAAAAACAGCAGUUUAUGUAGUUUCAAGUAAUUUUUCAUUACUCAGACUUUUCACUACUAACUAAAUUACUCAGAGCUAUGAAGAAUUUAUGUAGUUUCAAGUAAUUUUUCAUUAAAUGGAAGCAUCGUUGUUUCCUUUCUCACCAUUUUCUUUCAAGAGACCAUUUCUUUAGUCUCUUCUGUUCGAUUUUUCACAGGAAAACGUGCAAUCACAUUCAUCGCGUUAAGACUGAAACCUCCACAGCUCCAUCGACAGUUACCGGAGAUGAAAUCCACUGCGAGCACCAAAUUAACUAGAAUGAAUGAUGCAAAUUAUUAGUGAUAACUUUGCUUGCAUUGAUAAUUAAUUAAAGCUAAAACAAACAAAAGUCAGAGGUGCUAGCUAGUGUGCUACCAUGUUGUUCACUUUUAAAGAGUCAAUUUUAAUUGCUCUUAAUAUGACGACUAAUUGGUAUAUGAGUUCAUGCUAUGGAGGAGUUUGGAAACAACCAACCUCUUCAAUAACUCUAUCCUGUGAAUGGAACUCUAUUAUUUCAAUUUUUCUAAUCCACUCCAAUUUCGAGAAUAAAAAUUAGGAUUUAAAAUGAUAAAGAAUGGUUCCUUUUGUAUUUCAUUUCACUUUUGUAUUUUUAAAAGAAAGAAAUUUAGAUCAAAAUCUUUUAUAUUUUAAUUUUAUUAUUUAAAUAUCAAAUAACUGAUACUGCAUGUGAUACCAUAUGUAAUUGUUUUUAUUUUUAUUUUUUUAUAUACAUUCCUAUUAAAAAUGCUUCCAAAAAAUUAAAGGAGACAACUUUUGUUAAUUUGUCCUAUUUUGUUAAACACAAAAUAUUUGCCUCUGUAUUAAAGUUAUCUACAUCACCUGUCACGCGGGACAAGUAUAUCUACAACUUUGGGUAAGGUAGUGAAUCAAAUUCCUUAGGUAAUUAUCUGUUUAAAAAAUCAAUCUGACCCCAAACACGCUUAACUUGUGUGAGUAUAUAUAUAGAAUAUAGUUGUUACCAAUUUUCUUUGUUACCCAUUUUCUUUAAUCGUGAAACAUAUUUCUAACAUGCAUGUAAGAAUAUAUACGAACAAUUAAUUAAUUUUUUUCUCGUACAGUUAUGCGUUUCUCUAAUUUAAAAGACCAAUUGGGAUACCAAUAAUUCAGAAAUGUUUUUUUUUUAAAAGGAAAAUAAUUCAGAAAUGUUAACAUAUUGAAAAAGUAAAUGCAAGCUCUGGGAAAUUCCGGUUGUAUAAGGAGGUGUGUGUUGUGAAACCAUGAUUGGAGUGAGUGUGUGGAGAAGCAGAAAGAGCAAUAAAUCGAUUCUCUUAUUCUAUCACAUGACUGGGUGGGAGAAAGUAGACAUCAUUUCCUUAUUACAUGAGAGCACUUGUGGCAACUGUUUGUGCACACAUCUUAUUACACUCACUACUGAAUGGAUAACUUAAUGAAAAAGCAACGAAGACCAUGACUUUAAUUAGCUUCUGAUUUGGAAAAGAAUGACACUUGAAUUGAAUUUCACUUUGGAAAGGAAGACCAUCUGAUGUUACGACGUUGCUAUAUAUUUAAAAUGUUCUUAAUUAGGGUGUGAGCCCGUUAGUUCAGCAAAUAAAAUGUUAAUUAUGUGUUAUAAUGUAUAUGUUUAUUAAAUCUUAAUUACUGUUAUACUCCUAUAUAAGUAAAAUUGUUUUGUGGGAUCAAAAAGAGAAUCAUUACCUAAACUACUUAACUUCUUUUGCACUUUAAAAAUUGAAAUAUCUUUUUCUUUAUAGUCCCACAGGUAUUUUUUAUUGAAUGAAAUCUAGACUGAAAAUUACUCUUUUGAUUAAACUAGUGUAUAUUUCGCAUUAACAAUAUAGUGGCAAAAAUAUUUCUGAUCCAGUCAUAGAAUUCUUAUUAGAGAUAAUGUUUUUUUAAUAAUCUAAUGUAAUUAUAUAUAUAAUUUGAACUUAAUAUUACUAUUUAAAUAAAAAUAAUCUAUAUGGUGAAAUUUUUUAGUCUUUAUAAUAUUACCCCUUUUUUUUAAGAGAUUUACAAUAUUGAUCAGGUCACUUUAAAUUCCAACUUUCACAAAAUUGUGAUAUUUUUGUUAAAUUAUAAAAUUAUCAUUUUAAUCCUUAAUUUUAUAAAAUGAUAAUUAAUAAUAUUUUUGAAUGUAAGAAAUCAAGCAAUAAUAUUUUAUAAAAUCAAUGCUAAUUAAUUAGCUUGAUACUUAUAAAAGAGAAAGAAAAUGUGAAAUAAAAUUGCUGAUCUGAUACUCUAUGAAUAUAACUCAAGUUGAGAACAAGUUUGUGGUGGUUUUUUGUUUUUAUUUUCUAUAACAAACAAAACCAUUAAAAGCAGACAAAGUUUCUAUGCUCUCUGGCUCCUAGGUUCUAAUAACAAGGUUACUUGCUCCUAGCUCUUCCUGGUUCUCUUCUUCCUUAUCCCUUAAUAUACCCUCUCUGUCGUUUGCAAUAUCGAAUCCAACAAAAUACAUGGAUCUAUCUACACUGUUGCUAGCUGUUCUCUUCAUCGCAGGCCUCAUUAAUAUUUUCUUUUACGUACCCACCACCAAGAUUGGUGCGUGGCUUCAAACUUUCUUAUUCCCCAACAACAAUGCUUGCAACAAAACCAAAACCAACUUAGUUCCUUCUUCCUCUUCUUCACCAACGACCAAGGUGGAGAGUACUGGUUCCCAAAAGAAGAAGGAAGAGCUUAGAAAAGUGUUCUCCACUUUCGACAAAAACGGCGACGGAUUCAUAACGAAGCAGGAGCUGAGGGAGUCCCUGAGGAACAUCAGAAUCUUCAUGACAGAACAAGAGGUCGAUGAUAUUGUUGUCAAGUACGAUUCCAACGGGGACGGGUUGAUCGAUUUUGAAGAGUUUUGCUUGUUGACUAGUGAGUGUGUAGGAGUGGAUCAUGAGAAAGAGGGUGAUGGUGUUAUUGAAAAUGAAGAGGUUGAUUUGAAGGAGGCUUUUGAUGUGUUUGAUAAAGAUAAUGAUGGGCUUAUUUCGGUGGAGGAGUUGGCUUUGGUGCUUACUUCGUUGGGACUAAGGGAAGGGAGAAAGAUUGAAGAGUGCAAAGAGAUGAUUAAGAAGGUUGAUAUGGAUGGAGAUGGCAUGGUCAAUUUUAACGAGUUCAAGAGAAUGAUGAUGAAUGGAGGAAAGUUUUUCUUUAACGCAUAAUCCACUACAGGUUCUCUUUAAUUUCUUCUUCAAUUCAGAUCCGCCAUCACUAUUAACACCGAAAAUUCAUCACUCACUUGAAAUUGUGUGUGUGUAUAUGAAUAUGAUGCCCACAUCAUAAUCAUGUAUACGUUUUACAUGGAAUGAAAUACUGUUAUGAAUUCUGAUUUAGUAAGUGUAGAUUCUUAGUUAAUUUUCCAUGUUUCUCUGUAACAUAUGGCUAUUGUUGUGAUCCAUUAAUUCUUUGUCUUUUUGGCAAGGAAUUUAUUUUCUUUAAUUUGUGUCUGUGUAUAUAUAUAUAUAUAUACUUGCACCAAUAACUAUACAACAACUCCGCCUACAGUUGCGCUUUGCAGCACAAGAAAGUCUUGAAUUUCCAGCCUGUUCUCUUUUCUCCAUGAAAUUGGGAAAAGUAAAUUAUGGAUGUAUGCACUUUUAUUUUAUAUAACAAUGAUGUUGCUUAUGCUGCCUCAUAGGACGAAACUUACGAAGUUAAUUAUGAAGAUUAAUUUCCACGAGGGAGACUAUUUUAAGCGAAAACUAAAAGCUAGCUAAUGUCAUUGGAUUCUGAAAUCCAAUCAAGAAAAAUAUUACUUCUUUCAACUCUUCAAGAUCACCCUCAACGAUGGAUGUGGAUGUCUUCCGAUAUCCUAAUUUCUAAUGAUAUUCACCAUAUAUAGCUAAUUAAUAAUUUAAUUUGGUAGAACUUGUAAAUCCUUUGUUUGUUUCAACUUUCAAAUAAGCCUGCUACGUUUUCUAUUUAAUCAUGCUUUAAGUCUAUCUCUUUUUAAAAUAUUUUCCCAUUUUUGAAAUGAUAUUAUGUUGUUGUUAAUAGCGUUUUGAUCACAGCUAAACUAUAAAGUUUUAAAUCAGUACUUUAAUUAUUUCAAUAAUCGGCCUGAUUUUAAAGUUGUUUUAAACAUUACGUAAAAUAUGCUUUAUAAUUUAAUUUAGUUUAAUUCAAGAAAUACACCUUACAAGAUAAAAUAUGAUUUUAAUCAUUAACUAAUAACUUUACGGUUAAUUUUAUUUUAUAGUUUGUUAGAACAUCUAAAAUGCAUAAUUAUUUAGAUGAAUUAUUUAUCAUAAUUUUGUGAAACCUUAUAAUUCCACAUAAAUUUAAAUACUCUACACGAAAUUCACUUCAAUAUUAAAAUUAUUGAAAUGAGUGAUUAACUUAAUUAUAUGAAUCCUAUAAUGGUUGAAAAAUAUUCUAUUUAUAAUAUAAAUUUGUUAAACAAUGUCACGUCAUCUACUCUAAUGAAAAAAAUGUUAAACAACAAGAUUGUUUUGAGUUAAGCAAUUCAUAUAAACACUCCUAUGAGUCAAUAUAAUUGAUCUAAUCUCAAUCAUUUAUUUUUUUAAUAUCAUUGAUAAUUAUGCUUUAUUUUUUAAAGUAUAACAUUCACGUAAUGUGUGGGGUUGCUUGUUUGUUUUUCCAGCUCUUCAAAGUGCAUCUAGGAAAAGUAUAAUGUAUUAAUAAAGAAUCACGCUUGUUUUUUACAUGCUGCAUUAUAAAUAAUAUUUUCUUUUAUUAUUAUGUUUUGUAGAAACAAAACAAGACAAAUUUGUUUGCUAAUUUAAUUGAAUUCUUACUAAACAAAUAUUCCGGCAGACUUCAACACUAAAAUAACAUAUAACUCCUUGACCCAUGGACUAUAACAGGUAAGUGGACGAAUGCAACAUGAAUGUAAUUUAUUUUUUUUCUCAAAUAUGAUAUUAAUACUAAGUUAUCUCAUAAUAAUAAUAAUAAAUCUUUAUGAAAAAUCAUAAACACAUAUAAAAUAAAUAUUUAUCUCCCAAUAUAUUUCAUACCUAAUAAUCAAUCAAAAUUUGAGUUCUGAACUGUUUAAUUAAAAGACACAACCGUUAUCAUUUGUUUGAAUUGCUAUUGGUAUGGACGAAUGUAAUAUACUUCAUAACACAUUUUUUUCAUGACACUAUUAUAUUAUCCAUAGGGAUCCACUUAUUUGGGGUCAUGAGGUUAGACUCACUCCCUGGUCAUUAGUCACAUUCUCAAUUUAUUAUUGUAUUUGAAUUUGAAUUAAUAAUAAAGAGUAUGUUUAGAGUAAUAAAAAAAAGUAUUUCAUUUUUUUACCUUUUCAUUUAACUUUUUUUUUUUUUUACCUUUUUCUCACACCAGUUUGGCUCCCGUAUAGUAAAAGUCAUGCAAUAUUUAAUGCGAUUAAUAAUUUAUCAAUCUAUAUAAAUAAAUAAUCAUAUUUAUAUGAGCUAAUAAAUAACUUACCUUUCUAUAUAAAAAAAAAAAGUUUACACAAUACUACAAGAUUUUACUACAGAAGAAUCCAUACUCACAGACUAUCUAAGCACCCAAUUUUUAUUAGAGUCCAAACCCACCAUCUUACAUAAGGGCAACUCAUCAUGGAAUGGCUGCAAAAAUGACAGAUUCACUCUUCGCAUCAGGUGGCAACUCUUCUGUCUCAGCACAAACAUGAUCGAUCGUUACGCAUUUGAGUUGCUAGAAGCUUGUCAAAAACGAUGGUGGCAGCAGAAAACAACAGUAAUAGACAGUUAGACAAAAUCCCAGAUCAUCCAGGGGCUUACAUGAGGCAUGCCAAAUAAAAUUUCUAACACAUCCAAAAUAUUUAUCACAUGGGUAUCUACAUCAAAAGAGCUAAUAAUCUAUGGGUAGGACCGAUUUUUUUGCCACAUCCACGCAUCAUAAAAUAGUAUAAAUCUUCACUAUCCACCAUUAAUAAAAAAUGUGGAGUAGUAUAAAUUCAUUACCUCGUUUCUUUUCUUUGAUCAUGAUUAUUUAAACUACAGAAACAGCCAUGUUACCUAGUUCAGCCUGCUUUAGGUGCAUUGUCAAUGCAUAAUUGUUUACCUCUAAAGCUCUUACCUGUUCCUGGUACUGCGACACUAAUUGCUUCAAAUGCUUCAACUCUUGAUUUCUGUCUUCAUAUUCUUUCUGGCGUUCGUGCUGAAUACAGAUAGCGCACUUCAGAAUCACGUUUUCUUGAACAAGGGCCUCCACUUGUUCCUUCAGCACCUUAUUUUCCUGAAUUCAGUAAACCAAACAAUGAGUACAAAUAUUUUGCUUGGUAUUAAAAGGAAAUGAAAGCACAUAUUAAUUUGCUUGGUAUUUGGGUUGACAAUGACAAUGCUGAGAAACAUAAAUACAUAAUAAAUAACCUGGUGGAUGUUUCGCUCUGUUUCAGCACUUGCUCUUGCGCAAAUGGACUUCUCCAACGCCUCUAGCAUUCUUGAAGCUCGAGAUUUGGCAUCAUCCAUGCUUGAAGCAUUCAUCAUUUAAUUAACAAAAAGCUCUACCCAUUCGGCACCGUUUGUAGGAUAAUUUAGUCCAGCUACUGGAUCAUCAGAACCUGCAACUUCUGCAUCACAUUUUGCUUCACCUACAACAAACAAAAAAAAACACUUAUUCCCAUCAAUACCCCAAAAUUUCAGUGGUAUAUAUAAAUUCAAACAAAUUACAUAUUUCUUAUCCACAUUAUUUAUACUUUCCAGAAUAAACACUCAAUUUUAUCUCUAAAGUAUUAUCCUCUUUCCUUAAUUAUAUUUGAGUAAAAGAAAUUAUAUAAGUAAUCUUCAAAAUUAGUAAAAUAUAUCAUGCAAAGUAGUCUCUAUUGAAAAAAUCUUCAAAUUGGUUCUAAACGAUAGUAAAAUAUAUCAGUUUAAGGACUAACCGAUGGAUAUUUAAUACUUGAUAGAUUACUCAUAUUAGUCAUAUAAUUGUAUUACUUUAUAUUUAGGAGUGAGGGUAAUAAUUGAGAGACCAAAAUUAGUAAUUUACUCCAGAUUUCUAAUAGUGAGUGGCAGCACUAGUAGGGUGUUGUUAGAUAUCUCACAUCGAUCAAAAUUCAAAACAGUGUAUAUAAGUGACUUGACAAAUUAGUGCAUGUAUGGAUAUCAAUUGGGAGAGCUUAAAACUCUUAAAAUCGUCGCUAUCCAUUUUGUAGCUUGGGAUUCCCAAGUGCAUGUUCUGAACUUAGGUUUUAGAAUUGAAUGAGGCAAAAAUUCAAAUAUGAAGAAGCUUGAAGAGGUGACAAACCUUGGAAUUGAGGAGGAGCAGUGUCAGAUGCGAUGAGAGUAGAAUCAAGAGAAGGAGGUGGUGGUGCUCCUCCUAAGCGUAACUGGUUUAAGCUUCUAAUAGCGGAGUCGAUGUCGUUGCCGCAAUCUUGGAGAACUUUCUCGAGGAGAUGGUGGAGGAGAGAGGCGAACGGGAGAAGAGGAAGAGGAACAACGGAUCCUCUGCUCACUCCGAUUAACAACAACGCCAUGAUUGGAUAAGGGAUCCGAAGCAACCACCUCCGUCAUUUUUUCCUACUACCGUGCAAUGCCGCUUCAACUAGAAACUAGUACUUUAUUAAGAAAAAGGGGUGCUAGUAAUUACUACUACUCCCUCCAGUCUCAAAUCUCAAAUAUUUAUGAAGAUUUUUUUUUUUUCACUUAAGAAAAUUAGUUAAUUGUAACUAAAAAUUAAUUUUAUUCUAACGAACUGGAGUGUCAUGAAAAUACAAUCUAUACCCAAUCCAAAUCUAAUUAAACGAAUUGAAUUUAAAAUUCAAAUCUACUUAUAACAUCUCUAAUAAGAUUUUUCAACUUGCUUUUACAUUAAAUCUAUCAUUAUUUUUAUUUUUGAGUUUUUUAUGAUACAGUUAGGUUGCAGGAGAAGAACUCCUCUCUAUGAAAGAAAUAGUUUUUUUAUGUGUAAGUAAAAUUCAACAAUUUAAAUUACGUUUUAUUACUGAAGUUGACAAAAGUUUUUGUAUGAUAUGUGACAUUAUAAGAUCAACAAAAAAUAUCUAUGAAUUAUUCCAUUAAAGAUAUUCUUAAUUAGAUAAAAGUGGUUUGAAUAUUUUUGAAAUCCGUUUAAAAUGGUUUUAAAACUGAUUUAUAGUUUAAAAUUAUUUUGGUUUUCAAUCUACUUUUAAAUCAUAAAUCAAUUUAGACCUAUUUUAGCUAGGGUUGUUUUUAGUUUACUUUUGUCAUAAUUAAAUUUGGUCAACUUUGCCUAGAAUUAUUUUUUGUCAACGUUGAACAGGAUUAUUUUCGGUCAAGGCUAAAACUAUUUUUUGGUUGAGGUCGAUUAUAAUUUUUUAAUCGAUCGGCGUCGAACACGACUGUUUUUUUACUGACAUAAAUUAAGUUUUUUCAAUCGACAUUAAUUAGAAUUAUUUUUUUAAUGAACGUUGCCUAGAUUUUUUUUUACUCAUGUUGAUUAAAGUUUUUUUUUAUCGAUGUCCAUUGAAAAUAUAAUCCCAACAAACAUAAUUAAAACUAACACAUCAAUUAAAAUAUGAUAUGUAUGUAUAAAUAUAUAUGUUUCAAGCAUAAUUCUAUAACCUUACACAUAUUAAUAUGUACAUAUAGAUAUGUAUAGAUCUGUAUAGCCGAAAGAAUCAUUUUAGGAUUUCAAUAAAACUCGUUAUUAGAAAUAAAAAUAAGUCAUUGGAAUCAAAAGGAAAUUUAUAAAAGAUAUUUUAGAAAUAAUAACAUUAAUAAGAUAAAGUUAAUUAUUUUUUUAUAUUUGAAACUAAAAAAUAAAUAUUUUUCUUUUCUUAUAUUUGUACUAUUAAGACACACUUUUUUUAUUAUUGGUUAUAAUUUACUAAUAAAAAAGAAACUCGUUUUCAAUAAAUAAUAAUACAGUACUUAUAAAAUUUUGGGAUUUCAUAAGAGCGUCAUGUUAGUAUUUCAUAAUUAUUAAACAUAUCUUAUGUUUUUACUAAACAUUUUUUUUUGAAGAUAUCAUAUUUUAAAUAAUUUGAAUAUUAGAAAAUAUCAAAUAUUUUUAAUGUAAUCAAUAUUCUUUUAAUACCUUUCUUUUAUUAUGUAUUCACAGACAAGUAUUUUUUUUUUUUAGUUUUGUGUCACUUCAUCGUUUCAUACUAAAAUUGCAAUCUGAAUCUUAUUUUCAAUUUCGCCCAUUCUUUGUCGAAAUAUAAACUUUCUUAUUUCUUAGCUUAACCAUUUUUGUCUGUCAAAAGAACAUAUCUUAACCAUUUUUGUUUUAUUGUAAGGUUGGUAACUUGUUUUAUCUCUGUAGUCCUCUGUAGUCUGUUAGGCCGAAGAAAGAGUGAGAUUUUUUUUAUAUAUACAUAAAAAAGGAUAGAGGAUUUUUUUGCAAAAAUAUUUUAUUAGGGAAUUUAAGAACUUUUCUUUUUUCACAGAACGUUACUUUUUUCUAUUAUGCCUCGUAUUCUUAACAGUUAAAUUGAUAAUAUAAAAUAUUUACAGCAUGUUUUCCUUAAAUUUUUUACAGAAAUGUUUGACUUAACUUAUUUUUUUAAAAAAAUAGUUAUGUUUUUUUUAAUAUAACUCAUUCUCAAACAGAUGUCUAACGAUAUAUUUCUACUUUUUCAUGUCAACGCUAUUUUUCGAUGGUGGACAUGUCUCAAAUUCUUUUUUGGAGAUCAUUAAAAUUAGGAUUCAAUUGAUUUAUUUUAUUUUAAAACUAUUUAACAGAAGUAAAAUGAACAAUAUAUAUUAUUGAAUUUAAAUUAUUCAUCAGUACCAAUUUAGAUAUUGAUUUUCCAUCUGUGACAAAUUUUAUCUCGUAGAUACUCACUCAUAGGUAUGGAUUUUUUUGACAUGAUACAAAAUAUUUGUGCUUUUAGUUUAGAGUGUGUUUGGAAACACGUUCAAACCAUCUUCAAUGAAAAAAAUGGCUUUCAUAUGUUUAUAUUGAAGAGAGUGUGUUCCCAUUAAUAUAUAAUUUGAGUGACUUUCAUGAAGAUGAAAUGAUUGUGAUACUAAUUGAAGAGUUAUUGUAGUUCAUUAUUGUUCAAGUUCUUUUCAAUGAUGAGUGACAUGAUUUGAGGAAUUAUCGAGUCUAAUGAUUAUGACUGAGGUCCUUGUGAAUAGAAGAGUAUGCAAUCCGACAAACUUUGAGCACCAGAAGAUGAUGAAGCUUCUUAAUUAGAAGACUACACAACCUUGCAAGUCGCGAGUGUUGAAGAGACUUGAUGAAGUCGGUCAAGGUAUCAUCAUUUGUAAUAUUCAUUUAGUAAUUUUUCUUUUUAAGUUUAUACACUGGAAGAGUAGUUAAAUUGUAAAAAAAAAAACGUAAUGUGUAAUGAUAGAAUUCAUUUAAAAUUUUAAAAUUGAAAAUAUUGAAUUAGAGAUGAUCUGAUACUAAUUUAUUAGGCAAUCCCAUACCUAGUUUGCGUGUGUUGGCUAGAAGUGCCCGAAUUGAAUUGCCAGUUUGCCAAAGGUACUUUUUGAUGUGCCGACGAUAGUGGGAACCUACAAAGUACAAACAUUAACCUCUUACAUCUGUUGAGUAAUUUAUUAGAUAGUAACUUAGAAGAAAAAGAACACGAAUUUUGGUCCAUUAAGUUGUUCUAUUACGAGAAUCUUCACCUUUCUCUUCAGCAAAUCUUACUCCAGAUCUCAUUUCCCAACAUAAACCGUUUACAUUUGCGUUCUACUUUACCUCACGACAUGAUAAAAAAAAAAAUCACAAGAAUAACAGGCUCAUUUAAAACAAUUGGUCGAUCUUAUUUACUAUAACUGAGAAAAUGCUUUACCAUUUUUUUCUUCGAGAUAUUUAUAGCUUCAUGCUUGUUCUUUUCUUAAGUUUUUACACAAUAAAAUGCUAGCUGCGGAUGUGGCAAAUUUCAGUUUAAAAAAUAAAAAUAAAAUUGCUUAGAGAAAAGGCUGCAUAAAGAGUAAUUAGUCAGCUUUUUCAACAAAACUUAUUUACAGAUAAAUUCAAUAAAUAUUUGAUACUUAUAAUAUGGUAAAUAAAAAAAUCCGCCAGUAGAAUUGAUAUUGCAGCUGAACUUAAAUUAGCAUUUAAAGAUUUGGUGUUGGUCCUGGCUUAGGCUUAGGAACAAUGGUCGGAAAAGUUGAGAAGCAUGAAGCAUCUGGACACAAAUGACAUAUUCUUUUAAGAUAUCUUAUCAUCUAUGUAUGUGCCUUUACUACCAAUGGCGCCCAUCUAUUGCGUGCUUCCCUGACACUAUUGCUUGAUUGCAUGAUGUUGAUGCUUGACUGGACGGAAGUCACGGAACCAUGUUACCUCAAGUUCUUCACCGUCUUUGCAAUACUUUCAUAAGCACACAAUAAAUUACUCAUUUUUAUUAUACCUUUAUGUAUUUGAUUGUGAAUCCAAUGAGAUGUCAAGCUAAUAGUAUGUAUUGUGUAGGGAUUUUUGGGCCCUAGAUAAUAAUGUCUCAAUAGCUGUGGAGCUUUUUAAUCAACAAAAGUUGACUUAAGGCUAAAGUUAUAUUUAACAAAAAUAUGAGUUGGAAUCUGAAUAUUAACCAAAGAAUCUUGUUGAUAGGUAGUUUAUAAAUAUUUUUGUAGGUAUUUUUUAAGUCAUGAAGUCAGUUCUAAUUUUAAUAAGUGAUCGAGAUUUAAUUUAUUUAAACUUUUAAUAGAAAAAAAAAACAUGGUGUGACAUAUUAUGUGUUACAUUAAUAUUUAUGAAAAAAAUAUAGUUCUGAUGGAUUUUUUUUUUCUUUCAUGCCAAUUAUUUGGCUUGAUAACUUUAUCCCUCCAACAACAGGAAUUGUUGUUUGCCCAUAUGAUGGCCUUCAGUGCCAUACACUAGUCACUAUUCCAAAACCCUCCUCCCCUCAUCCUGUGUGUCACUUCUAUGUGUUAGUGAGUAUAUGGUGGGGGCCAAAGAUUAGGACCCACAAACUUAGUGGGGGCAAUUGGCAUCACUCCUCUCCAACAAGGUUUCUCAAGUUGCAAGCACAGUGUAGAAAAAAAAGAAAAAAGAAUAGGAUCUCAAAUUGCUUUUCAUCGCCCCAAGCAUCAUAGAAUACAAUUUUGUUUAUAGUUGGUUGAUGAAAUGACCUCUCACCAAGCAACCUCUCCCUCCCUCUCCCCCACUCACUCUUUCUUUCUUUCCCUUCUCCCUUAAAUAUGCCUCUUCAAGAGAAAUCCACCGAUGCUAGACCCAUUGCUCAUGCAUCCAUGUAGGAAUCUAUCCCACCCCAAUGCCUAGAGAGAGAGAGAGAGAGAGUGAUGGGAUUGCACUCAAAUAUGCUCUUGACCAUCUUUCUAUUAGUUUUGACCAAACAAUUAUAAGACUCUAAAUUGUUUAAUAAGUGUAACUUAAUUGACGCCUAAUUAUAAGAGCUUUUGGUGGCGAUGGCUUACAUAUCGCAAACUCUUUUUUGCGGAUCUUUUGUGCCAAUAUGCUGCUUACACAACCAUAUAACAUUAAUCUUUCCGCAGAUGAAGAGGAGGAAAGUCAAAGCAAUGUAGAGAAGUCCCCUAUGUUAAAUAACCAAUGUCCAAUAAGGAGUUGUAUGUUAUAUUGCAAGCCACAAUAAUGUGCCUAUCCUUGUCUUUUAUGGGAUUUUUUUUUUCAUUUUGAAUCGUUGAAUUUUUGCCCCGAGGUGAAUAAUAAUAAUAAUAAUAAUAAUAAUAAUAAUAAUAAUAAUAAUAAUCCCAUUUAGUUUCCACAUUAUUAUUUUUAUCUAUUUUACCCACAAUAGUUACACAUACACUCAACUGUUUACACAUGACUAAAAGAAAAAUAGUUAACAAUUAUAUAUAUAUGUACGAUUUAAAAAUAAAAUAAUAUAUAUAUGCAUUUUAACUGUUAUAAAAUUAAUUGCACAUUUUAAUUUCCUAUUAAUAAUAAAAAAUAAUCCGUUUAGUUUUCAUAUUUUUUAUUUUAUUUUAUUCUCAAUAGUUGCACACAAAAUUAUGAAAUCCGGUUUGGUUAGUGAUCCAAUUGAAGUAAUGAGUUAGCAGUAGAUCAGUAAUUGACUCAGUUUGACUCGGUAAAUAUUAAAAAAAUUAAAAUUAUACAUAUAUCUAUUAUAUAUAAGUAUAUAAUUAACAUUAUGUGACUAAGAAAAAUUCAUUUAUACUUCAAAAUCCAAAAUAACAAUUAAAGUAUUAAAGUUGAUAACACAAGUUCACAAAUGAUAAUUCAAUAACACAAUUACACAAGUCUCGAGUUUUUUUUAGCAUUUUUUUUUGUUUUUUUACAAGAAACGGGUUUUAAAAACUGGCUUAAGUCGCUAUGUUUACCCCAAACCGGUCGUGUUUGGUCGGGUCUGAUCGGAUCAUCCUGGGUCAAAUGUAUGACCAGUCCACUAAUCAAACCAGUCCGAUUAUGUUACUAGAUCUCAGUUGAACCGGUUCGACCGUUAGAAUCAGAGUAGAUUUUUAAUCUAUGAUUCCACAUAAGUAAGAUAAUAAUAAACAAACUACCUUAAAUACAAAGUGGUACUAAAAGUGCAUACAUGUAUUAAACAAAAAAAACUAAAACUGCCUUUAUUAUUCUCCUUUAUUAUUUUUAUUUCCUUUCAAUAAAAAAUACAGGUAGAGAGUGUCUUUCUUCCCCUGACAAGAAUAAUAAUAAUCUGUAAGGAUAAUUGCUAAAUACCCUAAACCCAUUGUUUCAGUUUUACUACUUACCAACAAUCAGCAAGAAUCAUGAAUGAAUCAAUGAUGAAACCAAACAACAAAAAUCUAUAUACUCUGGUCAUCAGAAACCCCAAACAAUGUUCUGAAAUGCGUUAUAUUCAUUUUUUUAUUUUAUUUUAUUCAACCUUUAUUUUUUACAGCAUUAUUUUAUUGAAUCUUGUAAACGUCGUAUCUAGAUAAUGGCUUUUGAAAAAAAUUAUUUUCUCUACCUUUUUAAGUUCAUGUUUGAAUGUUGCUUAAAAAACAAAAGUUUAUGUUUGAAUGUGAGUUGUGGAAAUUUAAAGAAUUCUAUUCUCAAAAUAAUUUUUCUUUAAAUUUUCAGUUUUGAAAUUUAGAAAUAUAUAUUGAAAUUUUCAAAAAACACAUUUCCAAUUUUUAUCCAAAUACAAUUUAAUUCGUAUGAUGGGAGAUGUUACCUCCAUGCUUGUUAUACAUUUGCUGAAGAGUAAUGUUAUUUUCAUAUUGAUUUUUAUCAUAAUUUUUAUAAUAUGAAAAGGUAGAAAAAAAUAUGAAAUAAGAUAAAUAAUAUGAUAGAAAAAGAUGCAAAAAUAAAUAGUAUAAGAAUCGCACUCUUUUGUGAAUUGUUGCUUUUAUGAUACUGUCAAAGGUUUUAUAAUAACAUCAAAUACUUACAAAAUCCACGAGAAUUAUAUAUAUAUAUACAUAUAUUCCAAUAAAUUUUUGUAUCAAAUUUUAUAAAAAUGAAUGACUAAUAAGUAUAUAAAAAUAUUUAAUAAUUUUUUUUAUUAAAUAACUAGUAUUUUUACACACGUGAUAAAUAUUUUAUAGAUAAUAUAGUUUAUUAUGAAUAAAUAUUUUAUCAGAUUUUAUAAAUAUAUUGUAAUUAAAUUUAUAAUAAAUAAAUCAUUUAAAUUUUCUUAAAAAACUAAAUGGGCAGGCGACUAAUAAAAUGAAGUACACAAAUAAAAAGGAUAAAAGUAAGGUAGUUUAAGAUGAUUGUGUAAAAUAUUUUCGUUAGUUAUAGAAAAAGAGUGUGAAAUAGCCGUAGAAUUGUCUAUUUUACUCAAUUUUUUUUCAUUCCAUGAUAAAUGUAGGUAUAAAUUAAUUAAAAAUUAAAAGACAAAAAGGGUAUAAUUGAUAAAAGAAUAAUUAAUGUGAUUUUAAAUUUUACAAAUAAUGUAUAAUACUUUUUUAAAAAAAUUGACAAUUAAAAAGAAACCGAGGUGAUAAAAUUUAAGCAAGUAGAUAAAUAGUAAAGAGCUAAAUUGUUAAAAAAAAUGAUAAAGUAAUAAAUUAAUAAAUGCAAAAGUUAGAACCAAAGAUAGACCGUAAAAAAUGUCGAAAUCAUAAUAUUAAAGAAGAAACAUAAAGUAAAAUACUAGAUGGUUUUUGUUACGAAUAAAGGAUUGAUGAAUGAAUGGCGGUGAAAGGCAUGAAGGAAGGAGGCACUCCCAAAAAAAAAAUGAUAAAACUUUGUUGGACAUGAGGUUUUAUGUUGUUAUGUUUUGGUAAUUUCAAGCAGCAGAAAGGUAAAAAAAAAAAUACAGAGAAAGAGAGUGUGCCCCAUUCCCACCCCCCACACAAAAGGUGGUGGGAAAAAAGUUCUUUUUGUACACACUGCGAUGAUGAUGCCUGCAAUCUCCAACACAAACACAAACACCAUUUCUUCCUCUUCUCUCUCUCUCGUCACUCUCUCUUCUUCUUCUUCUUCUUCUUCUUUCUCAAC